rnacentral:lncRNA from 1 species
AACAAUGUAUCCCUUAGUUUGAAGAGUUGUCACCCCCCAAUUGAAGAUGUCUUUACCCAAGGGUCAUGUCUUUAACCCAAUGGAUUUUAUUAAUUUCCAUUCAAAUAGAAAAUUAAUAUUAAAUAUAAUAUUAAAUUUCUCACACUAAGUUAGGAAACCAAUGUCCACACAUACCCAGAGACAAAGAAAAGGAAGACGAGGAGAAAUUUGAAACGAUAGAAUCUUCGCCCGUAAGAGAGUUGAAAUGGAUUUCGUCUGCAGAAGUGUAGAGGGAUUUUUCAAAUUAAAUGUUGAUGGUGUAGCGGAUUUUGCAACUAGUUCAGGGAAGAGCUGGUGCGAUUGCUAGGGAUCAUCAUGGAAAUUUGGUUGGGGCAAUUGCUAUGCCUCUUAUCUUAGCAUCCAUUCUUGCUAUUGAGUUCUGUGCUCUCAACAUUGGUAUCCACUCCGCCACCUCUGGUGUGGCUACUCUGCCUCCUUUUGUGUGGCUCUUUUCCUUUACUUUCUUUUUUUCCUUUCGAAGGCCCUUCCUCUCUUGUAUUCUCUGAUGCAGGCCCAUAAAUCUUCUACUUUCUCCUCUGAACUUCCUCGCCCUUUGUUCAGUAUGUUUCUCGUAGUGCUAAUGGUGCUGCACAUCGGAUAGCGCGAUUUACUCUCUGUGAUAAUGGUCUAUCAUUCUAGAUGGAGGUCUCCUCUUUGGCUAAUGGAUUUUGUCCCACAUGAUUGGCCGGAUCAAAUUGUUUUUUCCUUAUGAAUCAAGUUGUAAUUCUAGCAUGUGUGGUAGUCUAUUCCCUACUCUAAAGUUUUAUCCCAUGUAGUUUUCUUUGGAAAAGUUUGAACGAGGCAACUUCUUACAUGUCAACUUUUAGUGUUCUGCUGUUGAGUUGAAUGACUUAUUCCUCGAACCCUCUCUUAUCAACCCAAACAACCUCACAACCACUGCUUGCACUUGCGGGCAAUCCUCUCCUCUCUUACCACUUCCAUCAAUUUCCGUCCACAAAACCAUUACGUGUGCUUAUGUGGUAUGGGCAUUUUAGUAAUUUUAAAAUAUUUUGGUCUAUUUUUUAUAUUUAAUUUGAAUUUUAAAGUUUUUUAAUAAUUAAAAUUACUAAAAUGACCAUGUCAUGUCAACACACUUAACGAUUGUGUGGACGGAAGUAGUAAAGUGAGAAAAUUUCAAUUUUUCAUGAGAUAAAGUGAAAUCGAGAAUUCGUUUUAAAGAAUAAAACAGUAAUUAAGCCAAGAUAAAUCCCUACUAUUUCAUUUAUGUUGACCUGGGCUAGAAAAAGGAACAAAAUUACAUCAAAACACAACGAUAUCCCCAACCACACAAUUUUUCCACACGAGAGUGAAUUGUUUUUGGACUAUCAAAAUAAGACAAACCUCAUACCAAAAAAAGAUAAAGAAAGACGAAGACCAAAACCACCCCACCCAACCUCCCAUCCCAUCCCUAGCUAUUGGCGACUGCACCCACCUACUCUCUCUCUCUCUCUCUCUCUCUCUCUCUCUGUGUGAGCAUUAUUGAAGCAUAAUUGUGUGGAGGAGAAAUGCCGGAUAUCAACUUGCACUACUACAAAAAGUGAAAAAGACGACCAGAAAACAACGACGGUCUAAGUGAAAACCGUCGUGGUUUUUAAAAAGACGACGGUUCUAAAAACACCGUCGUUUAAUACAACCUUAGACAAAAAAAAAAUGGAGAUUCAAAUGGCUAUUCAAAAACAACGACGUACCUAAUUAAACAACCGACGUCUAUUUGAAACAGAUUUUCGCAGUGUAAAAUCAAUGCCAACAAAGAACGGCAGAAGUUAUGAAUCGACCGACGUAGAAAGUAAAGACGACGAUUUCAAUAAAAACCGCCGUUUUUACUCAUAAAAUAACACGACGAGGUUUUCGUAUAAGACGCCGUAUAAUUACAAACAAAUCCACGGCUUUAAAAUACAAAAUAUCGCCGUAUUAAAUUAAUGUACAACGACGGAAAAUAUAAAUAUAUCGACGUCAUUCUCGUAUAGUUCUACGACGUUAUCUUUAAAUCGUACAAUAAAAUUUAACGUCGUAUGUAUUCAUUUUAUACGUCGUACCUUUAAUUUUAACCGUCGUCUUAAUAAGAAUUUUUGUUAACAAUUUUUUUCUUUGAUUUUCUUAUCCUACGUCGGUAGAUCUACUUGAUGACAAGAAUUGAAAUAACCACGACGGUUUAUAUAGAAAACCGCUGACAUAAUCAGAUUUGUCUGAGAUCCCAAGGGUUAUGAAAUCUUACCAGAUGGAACUCUGUUCCACAUCAUAAUCUUAACAGAUGACACAGAUUUGCAAUCGAAGAGACAAUUUUUGGGAAGUUGAUGAUGUGUGUGCGUUUGUGUAUCUACAAAUAUUAUACCUAACCUCGUUGCAAAUUUGCAAUCAGAGAGACAAUUUUCAACGACGGUUAUAUUAUACCUAACGACGUUUAAAAAACAAAUCAACGUCGCUCAACAAAUAUAUUACGUCGUCUUAGUCUUACUUAAGACGACGAAAAACGAAACUUUACAUAUUCCAGAAUAUUAAUUUCCUUGAUUUUAAAUUUCCUCCGGAAAAAAAAAACUCUAUUUAUAACGCACUGUAAUUGAAAAAUAAACUGAAAGGUCACGGGAAAAAAAAUUCUAUUCAUAAUUUAAAAAUUCAAAUCCACGUCGGUUAUAUUAAACAUAACGACGUUAAAUGAAAAGAUUCCACGUCGCAAAACAAAUAUUGCGUCGUGUUAGUUAAAAACGACGGCAUAACAAAAAACCGUCGUUGUUUCAAACUGAAUUAAUUUAAAAUUUAUUCGGGAAAGCAAAAUCUAUUUAUAAUUUUCUCGGGUUAGUAAUAUUGCGUCGUGUUAGUUUAUAAAUUCUAGAACAUUAAUUUCCCUCAUUUUAAAUUUCCUCGGGAAAGAAAAAUCUAUUUAUCACGCUUUGUAAUUGAAAACUAAAACUGAAAGAAUUCGGGAAAAAAAACUCUAUUUAUAAUUUAAAAAUAAAAUCCACGUCGGUUGUAUUACACUUAACGACGUUUAACAAAAUAAUCUACGUCGGUAAUUAUAAAUCUACCGCCAUCUUACUUUAAUAUAGACGACGAGAAAAGACGACGGUAGAACAGAAAACCGCCGUUGUUUCAGUUUCUUUAACAGUUUGGUCCUUUAUCUUUCUGCAGGACUUGUACAGUUCAAAGCAUUGACAAUGUCUUCAUCAUAUCUCCCAGCAAAUACUGAUUCGAUUGCUCAUGCUUUGGAGGCCAUCUAAAGCCAUUUCUAUUCUUUAUCGCAUUCUUGAAACCCAUCUUCUUCUUCUGAAGCUCUACGGAUAAAGGAAGAGGCUAUCACAAAUCUGACGGAUCUUCUUAGCCAAGAAAAUCAAGCAGAUUUCCCUGAGAAGCGAACUUUCCUUCGACAGCGAGUGGAGGCUAGGCUUGCAUCUCUUUUGAUGGAAAGCAAGGAGUAUUCAGAAGCACUAAGUGUCCUAUCAGGCUUGAUCAAGGAAGUGAGAAGGCUAGUUGACAAGCUUCUUCUUGUGGACAUAUAUUUGAUGCGAGUAAGCUCAAUUUAUCUUUGAGAAAGACAUCCAAAUUAUUGUCUUUGAGACGUGAGAGACUGAGAGAGGAAGAACUUGGAACCCUAAAUGUAAACCGAAAAUGAAUGAAAGCGACAAAUUUAUAGAAUAAAUUUUUAAAACCAACGGCGGUCCUUACAAAAAAAAACCGCCGUUUAAAUUGUAAAAUCAACGUCGGUAUGAUCGACGUAUAUUACAGAAAUCCACGUCAGUACAUUAAUAAAAACGACGUGUUAAAUAAUCUACCAUGACGCGAGUUAUUACUUAUGUUCUUUAAUUUUUGAGUUUACUACGACGGUACCUACAACACUACUGUCGUAUUUAUUUACCACGUCCGAAGUUAAAUUUACCGUCGUAUUUUGUAAUUUAUACGUCGUAGUUAUAUGUAACCGCCGUAUUAUUUUUUUGAAAUGGUUUUAUAUGUAAGCAACUUUUCGUCUACCUGACAUACACAUGCGCUGUUUCCAAACCCGAUUAAAAAUUUCAAUCUCCCAGAGAAAACUUUUAGACUUUUUUCCUUGUCAGAGCACUGUCAGAGUAUCUCAUCGUCUUCCUCUCGUCUUCUUCGUCGUCUCUGAACUUAAACAUAAUCUUCCUCUUGCUUUCAUUGCACGCAAAAGGUAAGCUUUCAUUUUCACUAUUUUGGUUGCUGUUUUGCAUGCUCAUACGUUUUUUGUUUGAAAAAUCUUUUUACCUUUUUUCUGGCCAAAAUCAUUUUACUUCUUUCCAAGUUCGAUAAAAUAUACAGACAAAGAGGGAAAGUUUCCAACUUUGAAGACAACUACCUCAACUAAAUAAGACGACGGUAGCUUCUUAUUUACGUGGUUAAAUAUGUAGACUACGACGGUUCGUCAGUCGUUCUAGCGUCGUCUGAAAAUUGACAAAGUUGUUUUUAAAAUUAUAGUUUCUUUUUUGGCUUGCUUGUUUAAUUGCAGGUUUGAUUUCUCUGAACAAUGGUUUUUGUUUUUCCCUAAUUUGAUAAAAUAUAAAGAAAAAGAAAGUAGGGUUGGUAUCUAAUAUAGAUGACAGUAUCUUAUUGUUUUACGUCGUGUGAAUGUUAAUACCACGACGUCAUAUUAAAAUACCGUCGUCUAUAUAAGAUUCCAAAACUUUCUUUCUUGGCCUUGUAUUUUAUCAAAUUAGAAAACAAAAACCAUGGUUCAGAAAAAUCAAAUCUGCAAUCAAACAUUCACAGAGAAAGAAAGAAGGGUUUUGGAUCCUUAUAUAGACGACGGUAUAUUACUACUGACGUCGUGUGAACAUCAAUACCACGACAUUAUAUAAAUAUUUCGUCGUUUAUAGUUAAUUAUCACGUCGUUUAUAGUUAAUUAUUUCGUCGUUGUUUAAUUACCUUGGUUUUAAACAUUUAUUACGUCUGAGAUUAUUUCAUUGCGUCGUUUAAAAUCAUAUCAUACGUCGUAUUUUAUUAAUAACCGUCGUUUGUGUUCUUAAUCUUUUCCUAAAAUAUUUUCACUUGCAGUUUUGUCUGUAAAAAUGGUUUCUCACCAAGACCAAAGUAAGGAUUCUGGCUCCAAGAAAAAUGGAGGUAAGGAGCUUGGAAUGGUACCUCCUCAAGUGAAGCCUUCGAAGAAGAUGAAGUUUGCUUCAUCAUCUGCUGAGACAGAACCAACCAGCACGACAACAAUCUCUGAUGAUUCAAAGUCUGGUCGAGGUAUGAGCACAAUGCCUCGUGUUGUGAAGAGAAAACUUCAGAAACUGAGGCCAAUUGUUGAGUACAAUAAAAGGGGGAAAGGAAUUGGCCAAGCACAUAGUGAGAUGCAGUCCUACAUUGGUGUGUUGGCACGUUCCAGAGUUCCACUUGUGGACAUGAAAUGGGCUCAAAUCCCCAAGGAUAUAAAGGAGCAGAUUUGGGAAGCAGUUGACAUUGCUUUUGUGGUAGGUCAAGGGGGCAAGAACUCUGUGUUAGCUUCUGCUGCCAAGAAAUGGAAGGAUUUCAAGUCUACACUAACGAGGCAUUAUAUCCUUCCAUACACCAAUGACAGGGAGAGAUUAAGCCAACCCCCUGAAACAUAUAAAUUCAUAGAGAAAGCACAAUGGGAUGCCUUUGUAGCUUCAAGGUUAUCCAAAGAUUUUGAGUCUGUGCAUUCUCAACAUGCACAGAUUAGGGAGAAACUUGAGUACAAUCAUCGAUUGUCUCGAAAAGGAUAUGCUGGUUUGGAGGAUCAAUUGGAGGAAACCAUGCCUGGGGUAGAAAUUGAUCGAUCUACCUUAUGGAAGAGAGCUAGACAGGACAAACAUGGUAACAUCCCGGAUCCAAAUGUGGCAGAGAAAGCAAAAUUAAUUGUAAGCCUACUCACUCUGUUUUAAAUUUUUAGUAAACUGUGAAUAAUUCUUAUUACGUCUUAUGUUAUAUUUUACGUCGUGUGAAUGAUAUUACCACGUCGAAAUUUUUUAAAAAACGUCGUUAAAGGUCUAAAUCAGGAAUCACUACUCUGUUUUCUGUAAAUAAAGCAUAAGACGUCGGUGGUUUAUUCAUUUCGUCGUUUUAAAAACUAACCACAUCGGUAUAACUACCGUCGUGAUAAAUUAUAAUAACGUCGAUUUAUAUGUUAUUACGUCGUUUGUAUAUAAAUAACCGUCGUCUGUUUUUGUUCUUACUUUUUUAUAUAUCUUUGUUUUAGGAUGAAUUGCAAAAACAAAUCUCGGAAGGCAAAGUCACUGUAUCUGGCAGCAAUGAUGUGCUGACCAUGGCUUUGGGCCCCGAGCAUCCAGGCAGAGUGAGAGGAGUAGGUGCUGGGAUCUCACCAAGGCAAUAUUUCAAUUUACCCAAACCACAGAGAGUGAGCUUUGACGACCGUUUGAAGGACAGUUUAAGAGUUCUCCUUCAAGAAGAGACUAAAAAGAUGGAAGCUAAGGCAAGGAAAGAGGCUUUAAGGAUGGAGGCUAGGACGAAACAAUUGGUAGAGGCUGAGAGGGAGCAUUUCCUGAGUCAGCUUUCCCAAUUAAUUCCCAAUUUUGAUCCAAGCAUGCUUAAACCCAGAAUUAGCCAAAGUCCCAAAACUCCAAUGUCUGACAAAGCAAGCUGCUCUGGAGGUGAUGUGAGAUCCCUACAUUUAGAGGAUGAUACUGCCAAAAAUAGGAAACAUCAGGAAGAAAAGGUAACAUAUCUGAACUUUGAAUUCUCUGUUUUUUAAAAAAAAAUUAGACGUCGUUAUAAGAAAAGCAUGACGACAAGGUAUGUUCACAUAACUUUGCCUUUUUUAUUUGUUUUUCAAAAUUUCAGACGUCGAUAUUUUUAUUUAAUCCGUCGUUUGUUUAAAACUUAGACGGCGGACUUUUUUUAAGACGUAAUAAAAUAUUUAAACGACGGUUUUUGCACCGUCAUUUAAAUGGUUUCAGACGACGCUUUAUUCAUAAAACCGUCGUCUUUAUUGAAUUACCACGACAGUUUUUUUACCGUCGUUUAAAUACUUUUAAGACGACGUUUUAUUCCUUAAACCGUCGUCUUUAUUGAAUUACCACGUCAUUUUUUUUAUUUCUUUAAACAGGUUAUUGAAGUUGGUGCUUAUUCAAAUAUGGAGGCGCCAUCUUCUUUAAAAACCCUUUGUCGUUUUGUGGAAACGACACUCCUGCCUGAGGAUAAGACACUCCAAUUUACAAUUGAUAAGGAGGUGUUUGGUGGUGAGCGCGAUAUCGUUGUCUAUUUCAGUACGUCGUGUGAAAAUUUUAUAAUACGUCGUUUGUUAUACAUACCGGUCGUGUGUUUUUUAUAUAUAUGAGGUUUCAUUCUAAAAUAAUACGUCGUUGGUUUAUUUAUUGCGUCGUCUUAACUAACUAACCACGUCGUUAGUAUGUACCGUCGUGAUAAAUAUAUUAUAACGUCGUUGUCUAUUUCAGUACGUCGUGUGAAAUUUUAUAAUACGUCGUUUUGUUAUACAUAACUGUCGUGUGUUUUUUUGUGCUGACUUGUUUAUAUUAUUUUAUAUAUUUAGAUACUUACACGAUGUUUUGAAACGAGCAAAUAUGUGCAGCAUGGUUGGCUUUAUCGACCCUGCUACAGUUAGUGCCAGCUCUGGCACAAUAGCUGACAGAUCACGCCUACUAGCAGCUCGACUUCAGAAGACUGAUGGUGAACAGAUUUUCCUGAUGCCUUACAAUCCAGGGUUAGUCUCCUUAACAGGAUUUUGUUUUUAUGAUUUUCAAUAAAUGACAGCGUAUAAACUAACCACGUCGGUGUUUUAUUUUAUUGAGUCGUUUGAAACUACUAACCACGUCGGUAGUUAUUUAUCGUCGUGAUAAAUGUAUAAUGUCGUCGAUUGCUACUUUAUUUCGUCGUGUGAAAUAUUAUAAUACGUCGUUUUUGUAAAUAACUGUCGUUUUUAUAUUAAUUUUGUGCAGCCGUCAUUGGAUCUUGCUGAUUGUAAGAGCAAAGAGAGAAACCGUCUAUUUUCUGGAUUCUCUGCUAGGAAAUCGUGUGGUCGAUGAAGAGGCCAAAAACAUUGUGAACAGUGCUAUAAAAAUUUAUAAUUCUCACAUAGCUAGACCAGGCCGUAAGGCAGUCAUUUGGAAAACUCUGUCAGGCACACCAAAGCAACCUAGCAGUGUCGAAUGCGGGUAUUAUGUGAUGCGCUUCAUGAGGGACAUCAUCAUGGAUCCUUCCUUGGGGUUUGAGAAGAAGGUAAGAAGAAAUUACCUUCAUACAUUUUACGUCGUUUUUUGUAUUAUCAACGACGGUCAUGUAAAAUUACCGUCGUUGAAUAGAUAUAGUACGUCGGUUAUGAAAAAUAUCGUCGUCUGUGAUUUAAUUUCUUUUUAUUUAUAAACCCUAAUAGUCAUUGUUUAUGCAGUAUGCCAAGGGAAAACAGGAAGCGCCAUACCCCCAAGAAGCAAUUGAUGAAGUCCGGAAUGAAUGGGCAGAGUUUGUUUGCCUUCACCUGGAAUAGGGGAAUUAUUGAACACUUGAUAUUUAUGUAUAAUGUACAAAUUUUGUCUAUAAUAUAUAAUGUAAAAAUUUGUUGAGGUUUUCUUAAAUUAAAAAAAAAAUAAACAUACAAAUUGCGUAACCGACGUGUAAUACUUUUCUAACGACCUAAUAAAGUCAAAAACCGUCGUUUUUUGUUGUUUCGUUUUAAACAAAUCCGACGUAGAAGGAUAUUUAGACGACGUUCUUUGAACAAUUGAGUCGUUUAUGGUUUACAACGUCUUCAAUUUCUUAAGGGUUCAGGGUAGUACUUUGUAACGACAGCGGUUAAGUCGUGAAAUAUAUAUUUUACGUCGGAUAGUUAAAUAUCCGCCAUGGUUUCUCAUUUAAACGACGUCAUUUUAACAACUUAGUCGUCUAUUACAGUUUACAACGUCUACAAUUUAUUAACACCGACGUGGUUUGUUGUUGUGAUAAGAAUAUUUUAUUAUUUUUAUAUCAAAAUAUUCAAAAUAAAUUUAAAAUAAAUCAGAAAAAUGCAAGUCAACUCCUAUGAAGUCAUUGAUAUAUUUUCUUCCCCCUAAACCUUCAAAAAAAUUCAUUUUGAAUAACAAAAAUUUAAAAUGACCAUCCAAAACAAAAUUGUUUUGAUGAGUCAUAAAAUAACUUCUAGUUUUAUGGUUUAGGGUUUAGAGUCUAGGGUUUAGAGAUUAGGGUUGUUAUUUAUUGGGGUUUAUUUUUAAAGUAUAAUUUUUGGGUAGUCUAGGGUAUAUAUUAGGCUGUAAAACCAUAAACCCUUUUAUAAACUUAAUUUUUAAAAUUAUAUAAUUUAGUUUUAAGGGUAUUAAUUGUUAACGACGGUGGUUGAGUCGUGGAAUACAUAUAUUACGUCGUGCAGUAAAAUAUCCGACAUGGUUUCCACUUUAAACGACGUCAUUUUAAUAUGUAAGUCGUCUAUUAUAAUUUACAACGUUUUCAAUUUCUUAACCCCGACGUGGUUUUUCAGUCGUCUUUAUAUCAAAAUAUUCAAAAUAAAUUUAAAAUUAAUCCGAAAAAUGAAGCGUCAAAAUAAACGGCGUUACGUUCAGUGUUUCCGUCGUGGAAUAUUACAUUUACGUCGGUUCUUGUAGAACUUUCGUCAUGAUUUUUCUUUCGACGUUUUAAAGAGCGCGCGCUCUAAAAAUUUUCGCGCGCCCUAAAUUUUUUUAUAUUUGGCUCUUAUUCUUAUACUUCUAACCCUGAACCCUAAAAUUUUCAGAUUUCGCGCAACAUAACAUUCGCUCUCUCACUUCUGCUCUAAUUAAAAGUUGCACUCUCCAGGCUCCGUCGAAUCUGUGAGCUCGUCCAACCUGUAAGUACAAACCCUAUCUUCCCCUUGUAAAUUCAUUGAAUGAUAUUAGGUUGUUUUGUUAAAGGGUUUUCGGUAUAUGCUUUGCGAUCUGUUAAUAAUGUGCUUAUAGGUAUGGGUUCAUGAAUUUUCUGUUUAAUGGGUUCAUGGAUUUUCUGUUUAAUGGGUUCAUGGAUUACAUUAUCUGUUAUGUUGAAUUGGGAAUGGAUUUAAUUUUGUCGGAUCUUUUAAUCACCCUAUGUUAUGUUGAAUUGGGAAUGGAUUUAUUGUUUUCAUGCUUGGUUUCAUGUAUAUGUUGGUUUCUUGCUUGGUUUCAUAUAUAUGUUGUGUUCUUAAUGGGUUUUGGGUUCUUGAAAAUAAACUGAGACACGACGCCUUUUUAGGCAUACGACGACGAUUACACGACGGUUUAUGAAAAAACCGUCGUUGUAUUACUUAUACACGACGCUUUUUUCAUAAACCGUCGUUUGUAUUACUUAUAUUAGACGACGUCUGUUGAAAAUCCGUCGUCUAUAUAUGCCAAAUACGUCUGUUUUUGUUUAAAACCCGUCGUCUCUGUUGUGUAUUACUUGCUAUUAGAUCUUUGUAUAAUCUGCUAUAGUGAUGGUCAUUGCCUGUAUUUUCACUUUAUUAUAGAUAAUAGGUUAUAGUGUCGGAGAUGGAUAAGUCAUGGAUGCACUCGGAUAGAAGAUCGAAGGCAUAUGAGUUUGGGGUGGAAGCAUUUUUGAACUUUGCUGUAGAAAAUCUUCUAACUACAACACAUAUCCGUUGUCCAUGACAAGAUCAAAUAAAGGUGUACUUUUGCUGGAAAUCAACACAAAAAGACACAGAUCACCAACUUCCAAAUGAUUGUCACGCACAACGUCCAUCCAACCACGCCUGAAUCUGGGCCUUCCUUUGCUCAAACCAACAGACCAAGUUCUCCCAUUCGAAACUUGAAGGAUGACUUCACAGGAAUGCUUAAUACUAGGAGAUAGCUUGUAAAACUUAUCUCCUAGUAUUAAGCAUUCCUGUGAGGUCAUCCUUCAGAUUCGAAUGGGGAGAAACUUGGCUGUUGGUUUAAGCAACGGAAGGACCCAGAAUUCGGCGUGGUUUNNNNNNNNNNNNNNNNNNNNNNNNNNNNNNNNNNNNNNNNNNNNNNNNNNNNNNNNNNNNNNNNNNNNNNNNNNNNNNNNNNNNNNNNNNNNNNNNNNNNUUGAGCAAAGGAAGGCCUAAAUCCAGCCCUAGUUGGAUGGACGUUCUGCGUGACAAUCAUUUGGAAGUUGGUGAUCUGUGUCUUUUUGUGUUGAUUUCCAGCAAAAGUACACCUUUAUUUGAUCUUGUCAUUUUCUGCUCUGGAGAAGGUGCAAAGUGCACCAAUGAUGGGGAGCAAAUAGUACCUACGAAGGAAGAAACUGAUAAUGAAUAUGGGGAUUCGAGUGAUGAUUCUAGUAACGAUUCGAGUGAUGAUUCUGUUGAAAUCAUGGACAACAAGAUCCCUUUGUAUUCUGAAGCCAAUUCACACUUUGUAUCAUGCCCUCAUUUAAUGAUAGAUGAUUCUGUGUCCCCAAGGCAGAUGAAUUUCUUGAUCUGCUGGCUAAACUUAAUAUUCAAAUUUAUUUCACGACGGUUGUUUGUAAAUAAGAGACGUAGUAGAUUUCAAUAACGUCGUCUUCUCAUGUAUUUAAAGACGUCAUAUUUUUUCUUGUCGUGAAAAUUAUAUUUAACGGCGUAGUGUUUUAGUUUUCGUCGUUGUAUGUCUAUCUUGCGGCCUUGUUCUUUUAAUAUGUGUCAUAUUUUUCCUUUUUAACGACGGUGAUUUGUUUGAGUUGGUCGUCUAUUCUCAUCCUCGACUAUUUUUUAGAACUUUAGCAGACUAAACACGUCUGUUUUUAUUUGUUUUCGACGUUGUUGUAUUUAACAACGUCUAAUAUUUAUCGUCUUAAAGCAACGCAACAAUGAAGAACCACGAAGCUAUUGUGAAGCAAUUAUUCAGGAUAUCACGUCGGGGAAGGAUUAAGAACUGCCAUGUAAUUCAAAAUAACACGACUCCAAUCCCAUAAUACCGACGUCUAAAAAACGAGAUAUAUAAUCUGAACGUUAAAAAAUACGACGUCAUCAUACAUUUUCCACGUCGCAAGUUCUUUUAUAAACGAAGAGGAACGAAAUGAAUUCCGACGGUAAUUCAUUAUAACCGCCGUCUAAUAUCAAUUAAACGACGUUAUUUGUAAUACGGCUCUCAUCAUAAUCAACGCUGUCUAUAUGUUCAGUAAUACGGCUCUCAUUUAUUUGGAACCGACGUUGUUUAGAAGUUCAACGUCGUCUAUAUUAAUAAGUGCGUCGUGAGUAAUGAAUACAUAUAAAUACAACGUCGACAAUAUAAAUGCCACCGACGUUGUUUCGCAUUCAACGUCAACUAUAUAAAUACAUACGUCGUAAAUAAUGACACUGACAACUAUUUCCACGUCAUCUUUUUUAGAAAAAUCGAAGUUGAAAAUUUAUUUCACGACGGUUGUUUGUAAAUAAGAGACGUAGUAGAUUUCAAUAACGUCGUUUUCUCAUGUAUUUAAAGACGUCAUAUUUUUUCUUGUCGUGAAAAUUAUAUUUAACGGUGUAGUGUUUUAGUUGUCGUCGUUGUAUGUCUAUCUUGCGGCCUUGUUCUUUUAAUAUGUGUCAUAUUUUUCCUUUUUAACGACGGUGAUUUGUUUGAGUUGGUCGUCUAUUCUCAUCCUCGACUAUUUUUUAGAACUUUAGCAGACUAAACACGUCCGUUCUUAUUUGUUUUCGAUGUUGUUUUAUUUAACAACGUCUAAUAUUUAUCGUCGUUGUUUGUUUCUGAAAAUAGGACGUAUAAAUUUUGUAAUACGACUCUCAUAUAUUUGUAACCAACGUUGUUUCAUUGUUCAACGUCUACUCUAUAAAUACAUACGUCGUAAAUAAUGACACUGACAACUAUUUCCACGGCAUCUUUUAUAGAAAAAUCGAAGUGGAAAAUUUAUUUUACGACGGCUCUUUUUAUAUAGGCGACGUAGUAGGUAUCAAUAACGUCGUCUUCUAAUGUAUUUAAAGACGUCAUAUUGUUUAUUGUCGUGAAAAUGAUAUUUAACGGCGUCUUAUUUUAAUUUUCGUCGUUGUAUGUCUAUAUUGCGGCCUUGUUCUGUUAAUAUGUGUCAUAUUUUUCCUUUUUAACGACGAUUUUUUUAGAGAGUUGGUCGUCUAUUCUCAUCCUCGACUGCUUUUUUAGAUCUUUUUGCAGUACAAAGACGUCGUUUUUUAUUUGUUGAUGACGUUGUAUAUUGUAACAACGACGGUGAUUUAGCGUCGUGGUUUAUGAGGGAAAAGAUGACGGUGGAUUACACGACCAUUGAAAAACCGAAUACACGACGGUGAUUUAUCGUCGUCUUUUUGCUUUUUUGUAGUAGUGUUGAGUUGCGAAGACUACAUUGACCCCCAAGUAAGGUGGAAAAAAAUGUCUACAGGCCACCUUGUCCUGAAGGGAGGUACAACUAGUCAUCCCAAGUAACUAGUUUUUGAGAUUUAGAUCCAAAACGAUUGGUUGUUAUUGGGUUUUGUUAACGUGUUUUUGAUUUUAGAUGUAGAUCCUUUGACAUUUAUUACCUUUUUUUUUUGGUGUGUUGAUUUUAACCUUUGAUGUGAAAAAACACAUUGAAAAUAUAAAUUUAAUGCAUUAUUUCCUUGUAAUUGCAUUUCAGAAUUUUAAUUUUUAAUUAUAUCCUUGAUAAAUCGUGUUACUUAUAAGCUAGGAACAUAAAUUACAAGACUACCUAUAAAUUAGGAACAUAAAUUAGAAGACUACCUAUAAGUCAGAUAUAAAAAUAGACAAAUAAAAUUUUAUGUUACCUAUAAAAAUUAGAACAUAAAUUGCACGAUGUCAAAAGUAUGAAGGAAAAAAAAAACAUAUAUACUUAUGCAAUAGGACACCGUAAACAAAUGCAUUUUUUCCUUUGUCAAAAUAUUUAGAGUUCGAAGAAGCAUGAUUGCAGGUAAAAACGUGACUUUUGGUAUAUAUUUGCUGUAUUUUCCUUUUCUAUUCAAUGCCAAAUGUUGUAAAUAGCUAAUUAUUAUGACAUAAAUGACUAUUACCCGAUUCAAGUUAUAAGGGGCAAUAUUGGAACAAAAAUAAUUUUAAAAAUAAAUAAAUAAAAAUAUUACAUCAGAAAAUAAUUUUUAAAAAAUGUCAGAAAAUAAUUUUUAAAAAAUGUAAUCCUAUGUGGCACAAAAGUCAAAGGACUUAAAUCAAAGUCAUCAAAUCCAAAAAUUAAACCCAACUCCUCAAUGAAAAUUUGAAUCUAUAUCAACUUUUCUAUACGUCUAAUUCUAAAGUAACCAUCGACCAUCAAAACAGCAGCAGCAGCCCCAAGUCCCCAGAAAUAACGAGUUCCAAAAAUCAUGCUGCUCCCCAGCCCAAGAGAUUUGAACAUACUAAUGUAACAUCUACUGCUACUACUAAUGCACUCUAGACAUAACAGUAAAUAUCCAAUGAUAUCAUGACACUGGAUAAUCAAAAGCCAAAGGCAUUUGGAAAUUCCCAACUAAUGUUAUCCAAUGAUAUCCAAUGAUAUCAUGACACUGAACAUACUAAUGUGCGACAACAAUACUUCGUCACUCAAAGUCUUGAGCAACCAAACUUUGCGCGACGACAAUAUUUCGUCACUCAAAGUCUUGCGCGACCAAAUUUUGAGCGAUAAAUUUUUGCACGACGACAAUACAUCGUCACUCAAAGUGACUAUGCGCGACGAAACAAUAAACUUCGUUGCACAAAGUCUUUAGCGACGAAGUGUGUUUCGUCGCGCAAAGUCUUUACAAAAAUAAAUAAAAUUAAAAAAAUUAUUAUUUACAAUCUUUGCACGACGUAAUCCAAACAUUUCGUCGCAAAAACCAUUUAUUUUUUAUUUUUUAUUUUGUAUGCAUAACACUUAAAGAAAUUAAAUGGAAUAUAUAUUUAUUAAGUAGCUUUAAAUUUAUUAUUUUAGUUCGGAUCGGAUUUUUGUUAGAAAAAUAUAUUAUUGUAGUUCGGAUUGGGUUUUUGUUACAAAAUAUAUAUUUUAAAUUGAUGAUCGAAUUAGUUUAUUGUAUUCAUAUAGGGUCAGGGAGUGUAGCUGUAAAAAAAAUCAUCAAAAUUGGAGUUAAAAUAACCGUUAAAUCGUGAUUUUUCAUUUAUAACCGUCAAAAGUUUUGUUCUAUUACUAAAUCUCUGAAUGUUUAUUUUUUUCAAUUUUUAGCGUAUAUGAUCUCAAAGUAUGAACAAACAAGUUUGACGGUUGGAUCGUUGAAACUAGUUUUGUUGAAUGCAUAUGCCAUCAAAACAAUAUAUUCACUAACAAUUAAGAGUUUAUUUAUGCUUUCGUUAAAUAUAACAUAAGAUUUUGUGGUAUCCACUAGUGUAAAUAUUUUAAAUUGAAGAUCAAAUUCAGUCAUUGUAUUCAUAUAGGGUCAAGGAGUGUAGCUGUAAAAGAAUCAUCAAAAUCAGAGUUAAAAUAACCGUUAAAUCGUGAUUUUUCAUUUAUAACCGUCGAAAUUUUUUUUCCUAUUACUUGAUUUAUGAAUAUUUAUUUCUUCCAAUUUUUGGCGUAUAUGAUCUCAAAGUAUAAACAAACAAGUUUGACGGUUGAAUCGUUGAAACUAGUUUCGUAGAAUGCGUAUGCCAUCAAAACAAUAUAUUCACUAACAAUUAAGAGUUUAUUUUUAUUUUCGUUAAAUAAAAUAUAAGAUUUUGUGAUAUCCACUAGUGUAAAUAUUUUAAAUUAAAGAUCAAAUUCAGUCAUUGUAUUCAUCUAGGGUCAAGGAGUGUAGCUGUAAAAAAUCAUCAAAAUCGGAGUUAAAGUGAGGACCCGACCCAAAUUCUGCUUUGGAAUCCGGGGCGAACCUUGUGCGUAAAAUGACCUAAUUGCCCUUCCCUUCAAGGUUUGGUAAAAUACUAUGCUUGACUCCCAUCGAAAAUUCGGUAGAAUAUCCCCUGUAAUUUGAUCAAUUCUCAAAAUUUAUACCUGUCAAACAAACAUAUAUAUACAAUCCAACUUCCAGCAUGCGUAUAUAUUUACAUUCCAACAGUUAAAUCUAAGUUUUAGGGCAAGUUAUCAAAGCAACCACUAGGAAUUUACAAAAAGAGUCAACUCAAUUCAGAAGAGUCCUACAUCAGGAAGGGGGAAGCACGGAAAAUGGAAAACGGCCCUGUGGUGGAUCACUAUGCACGCCUACUGCCUAGGGGCACAAAACAUUGAAAAUGUGAGUGGACCAAAAAUAAAGUUUUAGAAAAUAGUAUAAGAACAUACUAACCCUAAUGUAAAAACAGUUAUAAAAACUGAAUCAAUAUCCUCAUAUAUACUCAUAUUGAACUCAUGCAACCAAACAAUAUUCCUGCUGAAAGAUAUUGAAGUGAAGCUCAACAAGCUCAACCUACCACAUAGGUAUACUUAUUUAUUCUCGCCAAAACCCUUAAUUACUAUCUAUUCCUUGUGUCACUAUGGUGGCACACCCUCGCAAGAAUCAAGUUAGCCUGAUCCACCCUUCUCGCAAGACUCAAGGGGCACUAAGCCCACCUGAGCUGCAUCUCUCGCUCUUACAGUUCGAAUAUCCUAAGUCUCGUGGGGCAAAAGUCAAGCAUGCUGACUUAACUAAAACACUGCACUUACAAAUAAAUAACAUUAUCUCCUCUCAUCUUAAAACUCUGCCGCCAUCCUAACCGAUUUCUAAAGUUCUUACCUUUACUAAACUUAGGUACUCUCAUCUUGGCAGCAAAUAAAUAAAAUACUUAACCUUAGCAAUACAUGCUAGAAAGCCCUCGAUCUAUUGUAUACUUCUACAGAUCAAAUUAUGAAUAUAAAUUAUAUAAAAUCAUGUAAAAAGCAAAGGUCCACUCACUCCUGGUCCGAGCUAGCUGGACCUUUUGAAGGUCCCUCCUGCGGGUCGGUCCGUGCCUAUGUGCCUGAUUAAAACGUCAAGAAUAUUUAAUUAACAAAAUUGCUUGGUAUAAGUAUACCCUGACCCCCGGCUCCUAGAAGUGCAUGCACUAACUUUAGAAACAUUUCCUAAGCCCACAAAAGCUUUCCUUACAUUUGAGAUAGUUGAGAAGUGCUUAGGGACUCAAGAAGCACUAAAGUCCCAAAACGUCAACCUGGGACCCCGUGGGCCCACGACCUUAUAAUUAUGAUAUGGAAGUUCCUAGAGGUUCCAACAAGCCUAGGACACAUGUCCCGAAAGUAUAGUCUCGAUCUGACGGUCGGAUUGCUCACAAUCGGACGGUUCCUAUAAACCUAACCAUAGGGUUCACGAUUUCGGAGUAUCCAGGACUCCGAUUCAUGAUCCGUCGAAUCAUACACGAUCCUAGAAAUGCGAGGUACAACAUAUGUGAAUUUGGGUUCAAUCGAACAGUCCGAACCUAUUGAACCUGGAUAUUGCACAAUAUGCAAAAUCCGGUCGAGGCUCAAACAGUAUCCAAAUUGGAAUCCGAGCUUACCGUCAUUCUCGGGACAACGUGGGGAACAUUUUAGGACAAAAACCCAAUAUUGACAGCCCAGCGACGCGCCGUCACGUGCCACGACCGCCGGCGGGUGCAUUGAGUAAUUUUUCGGCAAUCGGAAAACUCCAAACCGUGGGCCCAUAAUCAUACCUACGGAUUAAGCACAUCAAGAGAAGUAACUUUAUACCUUAGCUCGACGAUCAAUUCUACUGUUAAAGCCCUCGAAUGAAGCUUUUUGUCUCUUAAAAACCUAGAAAAUUUUAGUUUCAAAAUCAAAGAAAUUGGAAUGGAUUCACGUUGAGUUUUCAAGGGAUAACACCAAGGGAAGAUGUGAGAGUAUUUUGGGUGUAAUUACCUGAGCUGUGGAGGCUGGAAUUCGCCGAAAAAUUCCCCGAACUUUACUGUUUCGAAAUAGCCCGUUUUUGGGCUCACUUUGGCCUGAAUUUUGGCUUGAAUUUCCUUAGACUUGAGGCUGAAAAUUGGUAUAGAUCUGUAGAGGAGAGACAGAGACGAAAAGAAUGGGUCCAAAAUCGUGGCCGUAGGCAGCCGGAUAUGGCCGGAAUCUUUGUCCGAAGCCACGGAGGUCGUGGCUGGCCUGAAUAGAGGGGAGAGAGAGAGAGAGAGUGAGAGGAGAGAGAGAGGUUUCAGGAUUUAAAAAACAUCUGACUUCGCAAAAAUUAUGAUUAUGUCACUGAACUUCUUUUGAUCGUCAUUUCUUUGUUACAACUCCGAUUUGAGUCUACUACGUGUCCACGAACUCGUUUCGUCGCGCUCUAUGCAACGAUGUAAGCGAAAUUCCCAAUUUCUUUCCCCGUCAAAAAGUCAACUUUUCUCUAAUAAACUAUUCUAGGGGCAAAAUUGUUUUUCCCUCUAAUAAAUUAAUAAUUAAAUAUCAUUUAAGGACCGGGUUAUUACAUAAAGUAACCGUUAAAUCGUGAUUUUUCAUUUAUAACCGUCUAAAAGUUUUGUCCCGUUACUUGAUCUCCAAAUGUUUAUUUUUUUCGAUUUUUGGCGUAUAUGAUCUUGAAGUAUAAACAAACAAGUUUGACGGUUGGAUUGUUGAAACUAGUUUUGUAGAAUGCAUAUGCCAUCAAAAUAAUAUAUUCACUAACAAUUAAGAGUUUAUUUGUACUUUCGUUGACAUAAGAUUUGGUGGUAUCUAAUAAUAUAUUCACUAAUAAUUAAGAGUUUAUUUAUACUUUCAUUAAAUAUAACAUAAGAUUUUGUGGUAUCCACUAGCGUAAAUAUUUUAAAUUGAAGAUCAAAUUUAGUCAUUGUAUUCAUAUACGGUCAAGGAGUAUAGUUAUAAAAAAUUAUCAAAAUCGGAGUUAAAAUAACCUUUAAAUUGUGAUUUUUCAUUUAUAACCAUCGAAAAGUUUUGUCCCGUUACUAGAUCUCUGAAUGUUUGUUUUUUGCGAUUUUUGGGGUGUACGAUCUCGAAGUAUAAAAAAACAAGUUUGACGGUUGGAUCGUUGAAACUAGUUUCGUAGAAUGCAUAUGCCAUCAAAAUAAUAUAUUCACUAACAAUUAAGAGUUUAUUUGUACUUUCGUUGACAUAAGAUUUGGUGGUAUCUACUAGUGUAAAUAUUUUAAAUUGAAGAACGAAUUUAGUCAUUGUGUUCAUAUAGGGUCAAGGAGUGUGGCUGUAAAAAAUCAUCAAAAUCGGAAUUAAAAUAACCGUUAAAUCGUGAUUUUUCAUUUAUAACCAUUGACAAGUUUUGUUCCGUUACUAGAUAUCUGAAUGUUUGUUUUUUGCGAUUUUUGGGGUAUACAAUCUUGAAGCAUAUACAAACAAGUUUGAUGGUUGGAUCGUUGAAUGGUGUGUGUGUGUAUAUAUAUAUUAAGUAACUUUAAAUUUAUUUAUUUUGCACAUAUAACACUUAAGAAAUUGAAUAGUAUACAUAUUUAUUAAGUAGCUUUAACCUUAUUUAUAUUUUAAGUCGUAAAAUAAAAUAUUAUUUAUUAUUUAUUAUUCAUAACAAUUAUUUUUAUAAAUAUUGCGCUACGAACCAAUUUUUCGUCUCUCAAAAGUUUGCGCAACAACAGUUCGUCGCGCAAAACUCAAAAAAUUUGGGCGGGUACCAAAAAUGGGACGGGGAAUUUUUGCUAAAUUUUUUUUUUACACUUUGUGCGACCAAUUUUUUGUCAUGCAAAACUUAGCGUGACCAAUAUUCGAAGAUUUUUCGUCACGCAAAACUUUAAAAAUUUGGGUGGGUACCAAAAAUGGGACUCAGGAACGCGACCAAUACUCGAAUAUUUUUCAUCGCGCAAAACUUUAAAAAUUUGGGUGGGUACCAAAAAUGGGACGGGGGAAAUUUUUUUUAAAAAUUUUCUUAGACUUUGCGCGACCAAUAUAUAUUUUUCAUCGCGCAAAAGUGAUACGGUUUUUAAAACCAAAAUAACUCCUCCACCAUUUUCUUAAUGUCUUUCUCUACUCUUACCUCUCCUCUCUCUUUCCCUCUCCCCAAAUCCCACCCUUUCUCUCACACUCACUCCUCUCACUUAAUCUCUCAUCUCUCUCUUCACGACCUCUCACUCUCAUUCACUCUCUCAUCUCUCUUUUCACUAUCCCUCACUCUCACUCACUCUCUCAUCUCUCUCUCACUAUCUUCUCUAAUUAUCUCACAUUCACUUCUCCCUAUCAUUCUCACUCACUUCUCCCUAUCAUUCUCACUCACUCUCAAUCUUGCCAAAAGGUAUAUUCUCUCCAAAUUUUAAAUUUUUUUUCAUGAAUAUGUGUUUUUGGAGUUAGUUUUGAGUUUGUGAGGGGUUUGGGUUGAGUAUAGGGUGAGGAUUGAAGUUUGGGUUGGAUUUGUGGUAUAACAAUUUUAUGGGAGAUUAUGCCAAAUUUUUUUUUCUUUUUUGUUAUUUGACCAUAUUUUUUUUUUGUAGGGAAUCGUCGAGACUUUGACGGCUAAAGUUGAGGAUUAGGACAUUAUCGAAACAUAUCAUCUGCCACUACCCCCCACAAUAGGCUUGUAUUAGGAUUUUAUUAUUGUACUUUGUUAAUUUAUGUGUAAAUUUUGAAUAUUAUAUAUAUAUAUAUUUAUUUAUUGGAUAAUUUGAUCACUAUUUUUCAUAUAUAAUUUUAUUUUGAAUAUGUCAAUUUAAAUUAAAGUAAUUUAAAAAAAUCAUAUCAUACAAUUAAAUUAAAUUUUAAAAGUCAAAAUUUGAAAAAAUUAAUAUAAUUAAAUUAAUAUUAAAGAAAUACUAAAACAAAAAGUCGAAAACCUUGUGCGACAAAAUAUUUCAUUGCGCAAAACUUUAAAAAUUUGGACGGGUACCAAAAAUGGGAUGCGAGAAAUUAAUUUUUUUUUUUUUUUUUUAUAGCCUUUGUGCGACCAAUAUUUUUCGUCGCUUAAGGUAGACUUGCACGACGUUAAGGUUUGUCGCGCAAACUCUUUCUUCACAAGUUUUGCGCAACGAAAUUUUCGUCACGCAAGUUUUGCGCAACGAAAUUGUGCUUUGCGCAACAAACUUAUUUCGUCGCGUAAAGUGUUUUUUGUAGUAGUGAAGGUAUGUAGCCAAUUGAACACUAGAUUCUACUGAAACUGUAAUUGUAGCUCAUACAGUAAUGAACUCGGGCUUGCAGACCUCUUUUUGCUUAUGUAUAAUUGUAACAGUGUUAGUAUGUGAUGUACCUGGUUACUAUAGUUAAAGGGCAAUGAAGGAAAUUGCCUCCAUAUAAAAAGAAUAUGAACAUGUAAUUCUUCCCAAAGACAGAAGGAGAAAUUAGGUUUAGUUCUUAUUCAGUCAUCAUGUGAUGCAUCAUAUCAGAAGAAAAAUUAGGUCGAAAAGAGCAGCUAAGUUAUUCCCGCAGGAUACAUAUACUGUAUACACACAGAAAAAGACACUGGUGGGUGGAAUCUUGCCUAUUGAUUAGGCGAAUUCAGUGGUACAACCAAUGUCAGCUAGUUAUCCAAAAAGAAAAAGGUGUCCUUGACUCUGAUGUGAUUGAUAAUUUUUUUUUGUUUGCGUUCAUAUGUUAGGUUUAAAAAUUCACUACACGUGUAAGGGUGAGAAUGUGAAAGUGAAAGAUGUCCAGCAUUGGAAAGUUGAGAAACAUAACAAUGACUUAUAAGGUAUUGGACUACUCCUUUAAUUGCUAAUUAAUUUUGGGAUAGAACCUCAACUUCCUUCAUACAUACGAUUGAUACACAUGCAUACAAAACUUCCUUUCACCCGUUUUCUUCUUACUUUUCUCUUUUCUUUUUCUUUCUUCUCUCUCUUUUCUUGUUCUUCUCCUUUCUCUCCUUUUUUUUUUCUUUCUCUUUUUUUCCUUUUGGCUUUCUCUUUUGUUUUAUUAAGUCUCUAUUUCUUUCUUCUUCUUUUUUCAUGCGUUUCUCUGUUUACACAUUGAUGGUGGUUUUAUGUUGUGAAGAUGUUAUGAGCUUAUGUUGAAUAGGUGGUUUGAUCAUCUUGAGCUUGUGGGUGUUUUGGUGGAGGACCCGACUGUAGUCCGAAUCAUAUAGGUGUCCCAAAAAAAAAACAAAAUUAGCCAACCCCUGUAAAAAAUCCUGGGUCCGCCAUUGUAACCAAAGGGUGGUUUUUGAAGGUUGGAAAACAGAUUUGGAGACUAGGGUAUUCGAUUCAUCAUAACAAUCUAAUUCUAGGUUAUAAGGAUAUUCAAGUGACAAGUCUAAUUCAAAUUCAAAUAUUGAUUCUAGCUAAAGUAUGAUUAAGCCAUGGUGUCUGGUCUUAACCUUGUAUUUAUAACUCCCUAAUUUAGUCCUUGUUGUCGAACCUAAAUCAAGCAUUAGAAAUUCAUUAAGCAUAGAAGAAUGUUUUAAACAACCAAGUAUGUAUUUAAUCCAUGUUGUUGAAUGUCCAUACAUACUCCUCCUAUUCAUAGUUCCAUUGAAACAAAAGCAUAUAUGGUGUCUACUUUAGUUUUAACCAAAAUACACAUAUCUGAAUGGUAGCUAGGUAUUCCAAUUAGCAUACAGGUAGGUAGACAUAAUGAAUAAGAACAUGAAUCAUGAAUCAAACUUGAAACAUGAAAUUUAUAAACCCAGAAUAUUCAUGUUAGGUUACAUCAAAGCCCUAGUUAUGGAUUUAGCUACUCAUAAUGGGAAAGAAACUUAAACAGAAAUGAGAAAACAUUAUGUAUGCAAUAAAAGUAGAAAAAUCUUUUUCAGAAGUUCUUGUGGUGUCCAAUACAUCUCCAAGAGCUUCUCCACGUCUAAUACUUCUCCAAUACCUUCCCAAUGUCUAGAAGGAUGUAUGAAGGUUAAGGAGGUAAUGUGGGAUGAGUUUGGGUGAGUGGUGAUGGCUGAGAAAGAGGAAAUUCGUAGUGUAUCAUGGAAUUUCUGGGUUAUCUUUAAAUGUAAUUGAUAAUAGCUGAAAAGUGCAGGGAUUGUGGUUUUGAUUUUAAUGGAGCUUUAAUGUUAAAUUCUUAUUUAUGGAUUUGUUCAAUUUAAUUUUAGUUUUUCUCUUUGGUUGAUUGAUGGGUGCUCGAUAAUCAUAUUCAUAGGUUCAGUUAUGCUUUUCCUAUGGUAAAGGACUCUUCCUUUAACCAAACCAAAGACUUCGAAUCGGUUAACUUAACAUUUGGUUUAGAUUGAUUCAGUACGCUGGUAAUACUGUAAUAAAAACAAUAGUACGCUGGUAGUACUGUAAUAAAAACAUACUAAUAAAAAUACAAUUUAUAAUACUUUCACAUAACAUAAGUUCUUGAACAAAUAUGCCAAAUUAUACUUGUAAAAUAUAAAAAUUCAAUACUCUAAUUCAUCCGAGUACGAAAUCAAAUAACUUAGUCACUAUACCAUUCAAUAUGUACUCAAGAUGUAUUGGGAGCCACUUGUGUUUGUUGUUUAAACCUUUGAGUAUUUAUCUUACUGAAUUAUGUACAUUUAUGUAACUGAUUUUGACAUUUGGUCCGCUUUGGUUCUUUAGCUUUUUCAUGCUAAAUCCAACCUUAUAAAGAACAUAAAAUUUAGAUUAACGGUUGGAAAUUACAGAUCAACAACGAGAAAAAGGUCGGAUUUGAAAAACAUAGGAAGUUCAUAAAUUCCUCUCUAACCUAAAAGUGCUACAGUACCCAAUGAUAAAGAAGCGAUACAAUGAUGAUAAAGCAGUGAUACAAUAUUGAUACAUUAAUGAUACAAAAUGCUGAUUGUGUUUACCUUUGGUUUCUUUUUUGUAUUUAAAUAAUAAAAUAAGUAUAAAUAUCGGAUCGAUACUGGUUUCCGUCGGGUUAGGGAUAUUGUUACCCGUUAACCGAAACAAACAUUUCAAUAUGAAUCGGAUCGGAAUAAUUACAAUUUAAAAAAAAUUAUUUAACCAAACCAAACCAAACUGUCAGUCCGCGGAUAAUUUAGAUGACAUGUUAUUUCUGUUUUGUUGGCCAAGGCUGCCGAUGGAACUUUUGGUCUUUAUUCUUUGAGUUGCGUAGGAGUGCCACCACCAAGCCAUCGAAUUACUUGAAUGGAAAAGGUUGGAUAUGUUGCGCUUCUGACUUCUGAUCAAGUGAUUGGUCGGCCAAGCAAGGAACCUCCUCUUGGCCAAGGUUCUUUCACUUCCUCGUGCUUGAGGAUGGUUAGGCUUCGUAUGAAUUUUUUUUGUAAUUUUUAUGUUUCUAAGUGAAAAUAGUGUAAUUAAAUUAAAUGUGCGUUUAAACGUAAAGACAAAAAUUAAAGUGCGAAAAGAUAGAUCAAAGCGAUAAAUAAACAUAAAAUAAAGCAAGAACGAAAUAAAAGCAAUAAGAAUGAUAAACUAAAUUAAACUUGUUGAAAAUGCGAUAACAAUGAAAAGUAAAGCAAUGAAAAUAGACUUGAAUUUAAAAGACAAGAUAAUUUAAAUUGAACAAUAAUUUAAACUUACAUUAGGAAAAUGAAGAACUUGCUACAAUAGGUACUAAAAUCCUAAGCCUGGGGAAAGAAAAGUGCAAGGCGAAGAAUAGGUUUGUGUGUCUGAUGAUAUGUUCUUCUAUCUUCGUUUGGUGAUGUUUAUAUAGGGCGCCCGUUGGCCCAUGGUUGGCCAUUGAAUGGUCAAAUGUCAAUUCUUUUAAAAAAAAUUUCCUUUCGAGGCCCUCUAAAUCCGUGGGACUUCAUUGGUGGAGAUAUUAUGAUUGCUUGAUGCUCUCUUGUUUUGGAAUAUUCUGAACUAUCAUAAAUCUCCUUGAUUGCUUUCCUUGUGAGGCCUAUUUUGCAUGCAUAUAUUCUUUCGGAAAUCUUGGGCUCGAAUCCGUAGCUUAGGCUUGGGCCUCCAAGCUUCUUGGAAUAACAUGGGGCUGAUCCUUGUGACCUUUGAGUUCUUGAGUUCCAAUUGCCUAAAAAACCUUCAAUUUGGCCCCAUCAAACUCAGCGGCAUCUUCAAAUACAUUCACUUAUAUACAGUCCCGAUCUCUUGGACCACAUGAGUCCAAGAGAUUUGUGGUCACUCACCGUUGGAUGUAAAUUCAACGGUUCACUCAAUCUUGAACUCCUUUUAAGAAACUUUUUUGAACCAUUAGAUUAAUAUCCAACGGUGAGUGACCACAAUCUCUUGGACUCCUGUGGUCCAAGAGAUCAGGACUGCACUUAUAUAUAUAUAAAUAAUAAGGACUCAACUAAUAACCCCCCAAUCCGGCCGUAUUGUUACAAUCCCUCAGAGCUCCAACAACUCGGCCCUGAAGCUCCAACAUCUCGGCCACCAAGCUCUAACGUCCCUGCGGCCAAACUCCAAUGUCCUGGCCCGCUCAGUUUUAACAUCCAAGGCUGCUCCAGUCUUGGGUUAUGGCCAUUCCAGCUCUAGCAACCUCGGGUCGCCAUCUCAAUUUCGAGCGCAACUUCUCAAACCCGGCCACUAUUCUUCAUGCCCAACCAACAAACUUCUCCAGCCCGGCAACUCUUCUCGAACCUGGUCAUUAUUCUUCACGCCUGACCACCAAACUUCUCUAACCCGGCUGUUCUUCUUGAACCCGGCCGUAACUCCUAGAGCCCAGCUGCCAAACUUCUCCAACCCGGUUGUUUGUGUUUCAAAAGGUGCCCAUAUUGGGUGAAUUUUCACCACCCCUAAGGCCUUCUCCAACUCUGGGGCUAAACCCAAAAAAAUCUCAAAAUUUGGCCCCAUUUCAUCUCCAACGCAUGUAUAGGGAGGAGGAGAAUUUUAGGUAAACUGAAAUCUUGGGCGGUAUUUGGCCCAGCUUUCCAGUCCAAGCGGAAUUGCUGUAGGGCCCAACUCACAUGAAACCAAGGAGCCACGUGAAGACCCCAGCUACAUAGGGAAAAUUCUGUGGUGCCUCAGCUGUAUCGGUACAGCCAGUUAUCCAAGGGUCAGUAUUGCAUCUUAAAAAUAAAGGGCUGAGAUUGAAUGACCUGAAGACUUGUUGAGCCCUUUGUUAUUAAAUAUCACGUGACAUACACGUGACUGAGAAAACAAGUGAAAAGCUUCAACGUGCGGAAGCCCUGGCGUGCAUUGGACCUGCUUAUCUCUGCGAUCGAUCUCUCUCUCUUGGAAAUCCAAUCCUCAUCUAUGUCCCCAAAUCAGAAUCUGGGCGUCUCACUUCUGCCGACGCUGAGAUGCAACAGUCAUCGGACAUCGCGUGCACUGGGAGCUUCUUCAUCUUUGCAAUAUAUCUCUCUUUCUCUCUCUCUCAAAUCCAAUCCUCAUCUUUGUCCCCAAGUUGGAAUCUGAUGCAUCUCCUCUCUGCCGACACUGCGAUGCAAGAACCAUCGGAGAGGAGACAGAGUGGGGUGAUUCAGUCGAGUUCGACGGGGGUGGUGUGAAAGGCCUUUUUUUGGGUAGAAAUUCAACGACUUAGUAUUGAAUCUGGAGUGAGGAUGUCUGUGUUGCAGAGCCUUUGAUGGGAGAAAAAAUUCAACGCCUUGGACUGAAUCUUGGUGAUUUUUUUUUCCCUCUUUUAAUAAUUUUUAAUAUUUUAAUAUUUUAAUAUUUUCUCUUAAUUUCAUCACAGCAUCAGACCCACUGUGAUCCUUUCUCCAUCAAACCCAUGUAAUUUUCGUUUGAUGGAGGAUUUGUUUUCUUCCAUGUAUGAGGUUAUGGAUUUGUGCUUCAAAAUAAGGUAUGAAAUUUUGAACAAUCAGGUUGUUGAUUUUCUUUAAAGUCUUGGAUUCUUGAAUUCCUACUCUUUUUUUUUUUUUUUCAAUUUGAGAUUUGUUUUAUUACUCAAGAACUCUGGUCAUGAUGAAUCCAAUUGGAGUUUUCGGGCUUGUUAGUGGAGAACUGAGGUUGGCAUCAAAAGAGAAAGAUGAGUUCUUUAACUAAGAAACCUCAUAACUGGUUUUGGUUUUGGAUAUAUUAUUUCUUAUGUGCAAUUGCAUAUAGUUUUUGUGCAAUUGCAUACAGUUUAUGCAAUUUUUGACCCCCUGUAUGCAAUUAGCGACAGUGUGAUGUUUAAAGAAACGUUUGACUUGAAUGCUAUGUCAUUGAGUUAUUUACCCAUUAACAAUCUAGUAACAAUUGAGGUUUCGUUCGUUGAGUAUGUUGCGUUCAUUUGAUAAAUUUAAAUGUUGGUAUGUUCGGUAAGAAAAAAUAAGAGUUCACGAGAAAGAAGAAGACAUGAUAUAUAUAUAUAUAAUUUUUUUUUAGGUGAAGUGUCUUGGGUUGCCAUUACCAUUUCAAAGAUUGUAUUGCUAAAUCUGUAAGUGUAUGGUUUAAAUGUGAUGUUCAUGAUUGAUAUUGGUUGUUGUGAUUGCCGUAAUUGCUAUAUAUUGGUUGCUCUGGCUAAGGAGUCAGGAAAAGAGCAGUUAAGACAAGUGCAUUUUUGUUACACUGAAAUAUGUGUUUUGAGAUACCAUCACAGUGUUUGAAUAAUCUCUCUCUACCUCCCUCUCAUUUGCAGAAAGGGGUAUGCUCACUUGGACUUUUCAUGCAUACUUGGUGAGAUUCUCACCUUCUUCUGAGAGCCUAAUAUUUAGGGGCUAACAUUUGUGUACUCUACAAGUUAUAAAUUGAGCUAAACGUAUUACAAAAUAUUUUAGGUGAAGUGUUUUCUUUGUUUAUGUUUCUUUUUUGAGAUCUUAUUUCUUAUUUAUGUGACAUGUAGUCUUGGUUAGAGAAAAUAGAUGAUAUCACAUAUAAUUUUCUAUAGCUUUUAGGUAGUAGUAGAUUAUCCGUAUUGUCAUGCAAAUGAACACACACACAAAAGAGGCCCUCUAGCCAAAAAGAGGAAAUUUGGUGAUCUUUGCAUACGUUAUAAGAGUGUGAGCCAAUGAGCCUUCUAGUAAAAACGAAAGAAGUUAAAAACCAAAAAAAGGGCGGAAGGCAAUUGCAUAUUGUAAACUAAUAAUUGCAAAUAGACGUUACGAAAUUGCGUAUAUAUAUAUGCAAUUGCAUAUUGUAAAAUGAGAUUGCACAUAGAUGCUACGAGAUUGCAUACAGGCAUAUGCAUAUGGAUACUAUAAAUUGAGAAUUGCACACGUGCUAUCAAAUAUGCGAUAUAUGCCCACAAAAACCAUUAACAUGGUUAAAUUGUUGAUUUAGUCCUUGAACUUGUAUCCAAUUUUCAAUUUAUCGCAUGACCUUUUUUUUCAUAAUAUUACGGAUAUGAAUUUUCUUUAUCACCAAUGUCUCCCCUGCCGUUUAAUUCCCUAACAUUUCGUCCAAUCUGUCAUUAAAUAUGAGGGCACAUUGAUCAUUUCAUACGUUAAACAUAAUUGAAUUAUGUAACAUUAAAUAAUAUGAAAGGAUAUUAAAUAUAUGCCUUAAAGCCAAACAUGUGAUAUUGCGUUCUUUUUUGGAUAUUUCACCAUCAUUUAUGGGCAAAAUCAUUGUUUGCAUCUAUGUUAUUUAGUCUACAAUCAUAAUAGCACAACAAUCCUUGGAAUAUGAUUCGUAUGUGGGCUAAGCAAUGAGAUUGGAUAUAAGAAGACUUCUCAUAUUUCCACUUCACUUCGUGGUCAUAUAUUAUCAAUUGGGCAUUGAUCAUAAUCGAAAAGGUCCAAUUUUCUUUUUCGUCAAUUCAAUGUGACUCAAUCAAUCGACCAUUAAGUAAUAAUUUUUGUUGAAAGCUUUUAAAUUUAUAUUUGUACCAACAAUCAUAUGUUUGAUUUUAUUGAAUUUUUUUUUAAUUAACAAUAUAGGAAUAAUUGGAGAUAAUCAACAAAGUUCAAUUUUAUUCUCAAUACUUCAUUGGGUUAAAUUAGUAGUAAAUCAUGAAAGUUAUAUUCAGUAAUUUAUGCCCAACAAACCUACCUAAAGAACGCUAAGCGACUCGUUCGUCGGGUAAAUAAUGUUGUUCGUUGACCAAAUUACCCAACGAACUCCUUGAUUUACUCAACAAAAAAGGUAUUUUACUUCGAAGACGCAAGGGGAGCGCUCGGUGAGUAAAGCUAGUCGUUCCCCGAGAAAUUGGACUAACUAAAAUAUUUUAUCAAACAAACGGGGUGUUUGUUCUAGUGAACGCAAGGGUUGCGUUCGUUUAGUAAAGUUAUCUGUUCCCCGUAAAAUUGGCCAAACCAACUUACUUUUUCAAACAAAUGGGGAGUUUGUUCAAACGAACGUAAGGAUUUGCUUUCGUUCAAAAAUACUCGACGUUCUGCCGAAAAAGAAGGCCAACAUAGCUAAUUUUUUAAACCAACAGGGUAUUUGUUCAAACGAACGCAAUACGUGCGUUCCUUAAAAAAAGUUACCCGUUCGCCGAAAACAUGCCCCAACCACCUUACGUUUUCAAACAAACGGGGUAUUUUUUCACACCAACGCAACAGGUGCGUUCGUUGAGGAAAGUUUUCUGUUCGCCGAAAAAAUAUAUCCAACCAACUUACUUUUUCAAACAAACGGGCUAUUUGUUCACGUAAACGCAUGAGUUGCGUUCUUUGAGUAAAGUUGCUCGUUCUUCUAAAAAAUGGGCCAAACUAACUUACUUUUUCAAACAAACGGGCUAUUUGUUCACGUAAACGCAUCGGUUGCGUUCGUUGAGUAAAGUUACCCGUUCCCCGAAAAAAUAGGCCAAACUAACUUACUUUUUUAAACAAACGGGCUAUUUGUUCAUGCGAACGCAGCGGUUGUGUUCGUUGAGUAAAGUUGUCUGUUCCCUUGAAAAAUGGGCCCAACUAACUUACUUUUUCAAACAAACAGGCUAUUUGUUCAUACGAAUGCAGGGGUUGCGUUCAUUGAGUAAAGUUACCCGUUCCCCAGAAAAAUGGGCCAAACUAACUUACUUUUUCAAACAAACGGGCUAUUUGUUCACAUAAACGCAAGGCUUGCGUUCGUUAAGUAAAGUUUCUCGUUCCCCGAAAAAAUGGGCCCAAAUAACUUACUUUUUAAAACAAACGGGCUAUUUGUUCACGCGAACGCAAUGAGUUGCGUUCGUUGAGUAAAGCUGUCCGUUCUUCCGAAAAAUGGGCCCAACUAACUUACUUUUUCAAGAAAACAGGCUAUUUGUUCACACGAAUGCAGGGGUUGUGUUCGUUGAGUAAAGUUCCCCGUUCCCUGAAAAAAUGGCCAAACUAACUUACUUUUUCAAACAAACGGGCUAUUUGUUCAUGUAAACGCAGGGAUUGCGUUCGUUGAGUAAAGUUGCUCGUUCUUCGGAAAAAUUGGCCCAACUAACUUACUUUUUCAAACAAACAGGCUUUUUGUUCACGUGAACGCGAUGGGUUGCGUUCGUGGAGUAAAGUUGCCCGUUUCUUGAAAAAAUGGGCCCAACUAACUUACUUUUUCAAACAAACGGGCGAUUUGUUCACGCGAACGUUGGGGUUGCAUUCAUUGAGUAAAGUUGCCCGUUCCUCGGAAAAAUGGGCCAAAUGAACUUACUUUUUCAAACAAACGGGAUAUUUAUUCAUGCAAACGCAAGGAGUGCGUUCGUUGGGUAAAGUUGCCCGUUCCCCGGAAAAAUGGACCCUACUAAAUUUCUUUUUUAAACAAACACACUAUUUUUUCACGCGAACGCAAAGAUUGCGUUUGUUGAGUACGUUGUGUUCAUUUGAUAAAGUUAAAUGUUGGUGUGUUCGGUAAGAAAAAAAAUAAGAGUUCAUGAGAAAGAAGAAGACAUGAUUUUUUUAUUUUUUAUGUUGUUUUGUUUUGUUUUGAGUUGAAGAAAUUAUUAUUAUUAUUUUAAAGAAAAAGCGUAUGGGUGUGAUAUAUAGUAUUGUUAAUUUAAUUGGAUCUUUCCCCUGAUAUUUUUCAGGUGCUUCUUUUUUAAAACUAUUUAAAAUGUGGUUCUUAAAAUUUUUCAUGUAAGCCUUGUACCAAGGGAUAUGCACUAGAAACCAACUCCACUAAAUAAAUUUUUGUGUCAAUUUGUUGCACGUUGGAGUAUAUAUACAGUUGUUAUAAUAAUAAUAUAAAUUAUGUAAAAUAAAUAAUUUUAGGGGGUCCUCAAAAAUCAGGGGCCCUGUGCAUUGGCGCCACUUGCACUAUUUCAGGGCCGCCCUUUUCUACUAGUUGGGUUAAUCUUAACUAUCUCAUAUAUGGGAAGACAGUAGAGAGCUCAAGAGAGACCUAUGUGCACCAUGUUCAAACAUGGCUUACAAACUGCUCGGGUUACGUAACUUGGUAUGACUAUUGUAUGAAUCUAGAUGGUUGUUCCUCAUUGUUUGAACCUCAUUGGAGCUCUUCAUUUAUGUAGAUGGACACUUAUCUAAAUUGUAAUUCAAUGUUAAAACAAACUAUGGAUUUAUGCAUGGUUUAUUCAUUCUAAUCAACAUUUUAUUUUCAAACUUUUCAUUAACACACAUUACAUACCACUUAUAUUUCAUCAUAUGUAUAUCUUAUUAUUAGUAAAUUUUGAGUUUUAUUUGUUCAAUACAUUCAUUGAUAAUGUACAUAACAUUUAUGAAAGUUUUAUACCAAAAUUAUGUGUUUCAAUACCUAUAUCUGUCUUCUUCUUUUUUCCGAUACCUAAGACGAUAAUAAUAUAUCCCCCGAAAUAUCCGUAAAUUGGAGGCCCUAUAUUAUUUACAUGGUUGAUAUUUUAAUCCUUGGCCCACUCGAACCUUCCAAGGCUGAACCAUAUGUAGCCUUCUCUUUAAGGUUUAAUUUCCUCCAUUUAUUAGCAAUCUCUUCUUGUACUUGGAAAAAAAAAUCUCAUUAAAAGAGCCUUUUUAAUAAAAUAAUUAAUAAACUAACCCAAUCCAUUGCCAUCUCUCACCUUAUUGUCCAACUUUGCAUUUGCCACUUUCCCCAUUUUAUGUCUUUUUUUUUUUUUUGUAAAUCAUUUAUUUUUAAUCAAAAAACCAUCAUAAUAUUAAGCAACUACAUUUUCGAUUUUUAGAUGUACGUGUAACUUACAUGAAAUUAAAAAAUGCAUCCUGGCCAACUCUUGAUUGUUGCACAUUACUGUCGACUUUGCGCUUUCCUUUUGUUGAUCCCCUUUUUUGAGCUUCCAUAACUUGCACAAAUCAAGUACAAAACACUAUCAUGCAAUUGUCUCUAGCGCCGAGAAUUUGAAUACUAAUCCAAAGCCUAAUACCCCCUAAACCCCGUAAACACCACAACAUCACAUUGCUUAAUUAAAAACAUACGGGGACCUGGAUUUGCAUACAGUAGCUUAGUAAUUGCAUAUACUGAUAUGCAAUUGCUCGAUACUACUUGCAAGUGCAUCAGCCCUCGAUUAUUACAUUGCACAGAUAAUGCACACAACCCACCCAUGCAUUUCUCUAUUGGGUCGGGAUUCUUACUCAUUUCAAAUCCCAAUACAAAUCUUAACCAAUCCUCACAUUACACUUUCGGAACACUUUAAUCCCCAUAACAAAUUAUUCUAAAGCACAGUCAAACCUACCUACCUACCACGAAAUCACCUGAGUUGCAUAAUUUGAAACAAAAACUAUAUACUGUCAUUGCAUUCAAUGACUUGGAUUUGCAUACAGGCUAUUAGUAAUUGCAUAUAGAGAUAUGCAAUUGCAUAUUGAGCUAUGCAAUUGCAUAUUGAGCUAUGCAAUUCCACGAACAUUACAACUAUGAAUGUGAGAUACGUGCAUACUUUGGAAAAAAAAAACUAUAUACUCUAAUUGCAUUCAAUGAAUUGGAUUUGCAUACACGCUAUUAGUAAUUGCAUACAGAGAUAUGCAAUUGCAUGAACAUUACAGCCAUCAAUGUCAGAUACCCACUUCACCUCACGCCACUUUCAGAAUCACAAACCCACCACAAUUAAAUCAUACACAAUCAGAGGCCUCAUGGGUAUUUAUAUAUACAAUCAGAUCAAGAGGCACUAUAACAACCCAGCAGAAAUGCAGAGUGGGAAAAGAAAUACAAAAUUUGAAUCAUUAAUUUCUGGAAUUGUUCAAUGAAAAAACUGAAACAACAAUUCAAAAUCACUAGAAGAAUAAAUUAAAUAGAACCAUCAAUUACACAUAACGAAAAUCAACACACGAACUUACCGAGAUGGAGGAAGCAGCUGGAGAAGACGAAGUGGGUUUCUGGGUUUUGGCUGAAAUCUGCUCCUCAGAUGGAGAAGACGAAGUGGGGGGAGCUUCUUCAGGCUGUAGGAAGCUGUGCAGCUAUGAAUUCACCGAAAUAGAGCUGUGGCUGUGCAAAGCUAUGGAGGAGGAGAUAGACGAAAUCGAUCUGUGUGCAGCCUAGGUUUUGAACGAGCGGGAGUUUUUAUUUUCCUUAGUUUAACUGGUUAACCAAAAGAACCAGUUUUCAUUGUUUUUAAAAAAAGGCCACGUGAUGGGCUGUACAGGUACACCCGGCGCACCACAGACAAACUCGCUACAUAGACCACCUGUUGCCAACUUACCCAUGCUGUUUGCGCCACUUGUCAAGCCCAGAACAAUUAUUUGUUUCAAUCCAAUGGCUGCAUUAAGUUGCUGUGUCAAUUUUUUGAUUUUUUUUUUGGUUGUUUUUUUUUCAUUCUACAUAUAAUCAAUGGCCAGCAUAUUUUUAAGCAAUCUCAAUGGGAAAAAUUCACAUCCAAUGGCUGAAAUUUAAAUCCAACGGCAAAAUUAAUUUUUAUAAUUACUCUAAAUCAAAUUCAACCCAAAAUAAUUUUGUGAUUAUCAUUUAUCUUAAUUGUAAUUAUGGUUUAUCUUAAUAUGUUUUGAUUUUUAAGUGAAAUUAUAUUAUGUUUUGGAUUUUGGAUUUUGGAUUUUUUUAGGUUAAAAUGUUCAAAAAAUUAAAUCAUGAAUAUUUAAAUAAAAAUAAUGUGAAGAAAAAUGAACCAAAAAAAAAUAGAGGUUAAUCAUUUUUAAACAAUUUAAUAAAAUUAUGGACUCAAAUUAUGAGUAUGCAUGGUUAGAGGAAAAAACAAUUUGAGUCCGAACAAUACAUUAAUAGUUGUGUUUUUAAAAAGAGAAAUUUAAAUUUAGCCCUAUUUGAAUUAGAGAUAGCCUAAAUAGAUGCCCACCCCUAAUGCUGCCAUUCCCACCUGCCCUUUAUUCAGUGUAUGAAUGCUUGAAUUUUUGUCCCCGGAUAAUGCUUGGCUAGUUAUUUCACUUGUCUUUUUCCUGGAUGGUUUUGUAGCUUUGCGCACAUGGUCAAGUCACGUCAAUGUGUCACAAUUUUUGGUGGACUCGACCUUGGUUGAGAGAGAGAGAGAAGUUCUUCUAUGGGGCAGGUCCCAUAGGGCCCUUUCGUUUGUGGUUUUUUAUUUUCAAAAGCAGAAGUUUGCACGGAAAGCGUGUAUAAGGGGGAUCCAUUGCGCUGCCACUCCCAUUUUUCUCCUUUCUUCAGUGUAUGAAUGCUUGAAUUUUUGUCCGCAGAAAGUGCUUUGGCUAAUUAUUAUUUUCUUUGGUUUCAUUACCAACGCCUUCCGCGUUAUUCCUUCUGGAAAGGCUUUAAACCUUGUUUACUGCUUUCUAUUCUCUUUCUUUCUAAACUGCUUAAUUGGACCCUCUGGUGCAACUUAAUUAAACACAUCCAUCAUCUACAAUAUCAGAUUAUCUUUCUUCUCCAAGUUUUCAUCUCAAAUAUCAGAUUUGCUUUAAUUAUAGCUCUGGUGCAUUCAGAGGUAUGGACUCCAUUGAGUUCUUUCAAGUUUUCAUCAUAAUUAUCAUAAUCAUCAUACUCAUCAUGACUCUGUUCUGCAUGUACUUCAGAUCAUUAACAUCUUCUUCUUCUUCCACUUCUUCUGUUGCUGCUGUUGAUACUGAUAUCCCCCCUCUUCAAGAAAAGUAUGAUGUGUUUAUCAGCUUCAGAGGUGAUGAAACACGCGAUUCUUUUACCAGCCAUCUUCACAAGGCUUUACUUCGGAAGAACAUUGAUACCUACAUGGAUGACAGACUUGAGAAAGGAGACGACAUUGAACCUGCCCUUCUAGAAGCAAUCGAGAGAUCGAAAAUUGCACUAGUCAUUUUCUCAAAAGACUAUGCUUCUUCCACUUGGUGUUUGAAAGAACUUGUGCAUAUACUUGGAUGCAAGAAAAACCAUGGACAGAUUGUUAUACCCAUUUUUUAUCGCAUAGAUCCGUCACAUGUACGAAAACAAAAGGGAACUUAUGCACUUGAAGGUCGUGAACUUAAGAAACGAUUGAAGGGCAGUAGGCAUGUGGUGGCCAACUGGAGGGCUGCUUUGAAGGAAGCAGCCAAUAUUCUGGGUUUUAUGAUUCAAGAAAAACAGGGUAUACUAAAUCUCUAGCUUGUAUCAAUUUCUACUUGUUAUCAUUUGAUUCAUACUUACUCAUACUAUUGUUUGUCUUUCAUAACGAUAUUUGCCAGGAGGACAGAGGCCGAUUUUAUUGAGGAAGUUGUUCAAGAUGUUUUGACAAAAUUGAAUAUGUCUACCGAACCCAAGAAUAAUACUGAGAGAGGUGAGGCCCAAAGAGGCGAUGCCUUCAACAUUUCUGGGAAUACAAUUGAGGGGAGCAAUUCAGGUAGGGUAGGAGUUUUCGAGUUUGGCAACAAAAACGUCUAUAAAGGCCACAAGAAAGAAAAACAAGUCGACUCAUGUAGUGGAGAAACCGACACGGCCUCCGGCGGUGAAAACGAAAAGUGAACUCAGGUGAUCUGUAGUCUGUAGGCCUCUUUAUGUAUAUGCACCAUUUCUUACGUAAUUUGAUUAUCAAGAUUGAAUGUUAUCCUUUAGUUUUGAGUUGGUUUCCUUUGUCAGAUUCCUUCGUGUAGUUCUACUAUCUAUCGAUUAUGUGCAGCGAUCAGUGAUCCAUGAUGAUUGAUGACUAUCAUAGACAGGCAAUAAGGUCCCCAUGAUUGAUGAAAUUGUUUCUUCACCAAAGGUGUAUUUCCUUCUUGUGGAUGAAAUGAAUGUAAGCUUAAUUAAGGGCUUCACACUCAAUUCUAGGGGAAUACAAACUCAUGUGCAAAAAUAAAAAUCAUAAACAAAAUUCUGCUAGUAAAUUCAUACAGGUGUAAAACAAAUUAAACAAGAGUUGUAGCCAUCCUACAAGAUAUGAACUAGGGGUGGGCAUGGUCUGGUUCGAUCCGAUUCUCAUCUCAAAUUAGAAUCGAAAUUGGUGCUAUUUAAUCGGUCUGAUUUUAGUAUUUUUUUUGAAAUCGGCCAGUUCGAUUCUCACUAGUUUUGGUCCUAUUUUUAGUUUUUUCCAGUUUUGAAUUAGAUUUUUUAUUUUUUAUUUUAUUUUUUUUAAAAUAAAAAUUCCUACUAAUUUUUGGACUUGAAAAUUAACAAAUAAUCUGAUUUCAUACUAAGAGAGAUAUUGAGCCUAACAAAAAGAGAUGUUUUGAAGUUGAACUUGGAAAAAUAUUAGUUAUAAGAUUAAAAACGUAGCAUUGAAUUUAAAUAAUUCUGUAUAAAAAAAUAAAAAAUUAUACACAACUGAUCCGGUUUGAUCUGAUCCAGUUUGGUGCAGUGUGAAAUCAAAAUCAAAAUCAAAAUCGACUGGAACUGAUUCGGUCCUAUUUGAUGCCAAUUUAUUGACUUUUUUAAUUAACUAAUUUUUGUCAUUUGGUCCGAUUCAGUGUUCUGAUUUUUCAGUUCUGAUGCCCAAUGAACUUCGCGGUGAGCUGUAAAGCUGUCAAAAUAACAAAACCAGUCCAUGUGCAACCAUUCACUUAUGUAAUGAUUAUUGGGAUGUCUUUGUCAAAUACAUGAUGGAUAAAGAACAUGGGAAACAAAGGAUGGUGCUCUAGAAAGCUUUUACAGAUUUCUUUAAUGGAUAGGAAGAAAUCUGAAAAGCAUACACCAAUUCAGUAUAAACGGGAGGGACCACAAAAAGCGUGGGUCAAUAUCCAUGGGCCCAUAGUUUGGCAUCCAGACAACAAAGUUGACAACGGAGAACCCAAUAAGAAUUUGGAUACGUUUCUCACAUCCCUUUCAAUUGUAUCAUGAUAAUAUAAUAUAAUUACCAAAUUUUUUUCAUGUAUAAAUACGGUAAAAAAAAUAUGGUAAGUUUAGUAUUAUCUUAGUAGUAGUGCUCAUGUGCCAAUUUGUCAUUAAUUGUAAAGUAUGCCAAAAUAAAUGAUUAACAACAUAUUAACUUACUAACUAGUUAACAUUAAUUUGAAAAUGAAAGCCGCAUUCAUCGCUUAAGCAUUUAACCGAUUGAUUGAUAGAAGGAGUCAAUAUAUAGGUUUUAUUUGAAAUCAACCUUACAAUUCGAGGGGUUUUAAGUAAUUGAAUUUUUGUUGGUGGGAAUCGUAUCCUCUAUAUAUAGAGAGAGAGAGAGAGAGAAAAAAAAAAUUGAUUUUUUUUAAAGUUUUGUAUGCUUUUAUCAUUUUGUAACCUUUUUAGAAUAAUAAAAAUUGAUCAUGUGCACCUCACGUGACAGAAAUGUGAAUGGACAUCUAAAAAAGUGACGGCGAAUUCCCAAUCAACUAUUUGUAUAUAGUUUAAGUCCUUAAUUUAUCAAAACAAAAAGUUAGAGAAACAAAUCGACAAUUAUGGUAUAAUUCAAGGCAAAACCACAUUUUAGCCAUAAUAUUAACAUACAUCCAAUAUGUUAGGUCAUCAGCUCCAAGCCCACUUGUACAAUUUUUAUUUUUUGGGUUAUUUAGAAUUUCCUCUUUGGCUACAAUUAUUUCAUCGUCAAACCUAAGUAUAAAUAUAUCAAAAUUCAAUCAAACAACCAAAAUUUUAAUUUAAAAAAAUACAUCUUGAGAUGAUAAUCUAACUUUCCUCCUUUCCAUUUUUUGUUGCUGUCCCCAAACCCAUUUACUUGGCAAUCAAGCCAGCUAUAUAUCGACAAUCUACUAUAUGAGGAGGAGGUCAACAUAUGAGUUAAUUCAAGUGCAAAUGGAUAGGGGAAAAGGGUUUAGUCAGGAUCAACCUCCAGCUCGAACAGUAACAAUGAUGUUGCGCCCAAAAGAAAAUGAUAUUCCAAAGCUACAGCGAAAGAUAACUGAGGAAGAAGAGAUGAAAAGGAAUAAAGAAAGAGAUAGCGACGGCAGCAGCAGCAGUAGGAACAAUAUUUGUCAGAAUGAAAUUACGGCAACCAAUGGCGCCACAGAUGUUGGGGUCUCCAACUUUGACAACUACGCCGUCCAAGGUAAAGGGGGCAGCGAAGGAACGAAGGGCUUCCCUGAACGUGGCGGUGGUUACAACAUUUCUGGCAAUAAAAUUAGUGCAAAUGGAGCCAGGAAAGUUGGGAUUCACAACUUCGGCAACACCACAUACGGCAUGCCUUUUACUACUGAGGAGAAUCAUGGAGAAGAAGCAGAAGGCGGCUCCAGUCCACCAAAGCCACAAGGGGGGCCCACCAGCUAACUCAUCAUCGAUCACAUGGUUUGGGAAAAUUAAAUAUAUGAAAAAAAAAAUAUAAAUAAAAGAGUAAUCUCUUCUUCCGUGUUUAAUUUUAUUAUGUAUACAGUAUAGGGUGUGCGAAACUAAGAACUCAUACGGUAAAUAAUUACCCAGGCUUGUAAGCCUGUUCUUAUGAAUAUGUUAUUUGUAAUCAUGGCUUAAAGUUUAUUAAUUACCUCGUACCCAAAAGAAUUAAUUAGGUUCAUUAUGUUUGUUCUUUUAAACUAGGUUUAUAUAUAUAAUUCGUUACUUAGAAUUUGUCAGAGAACGAUGUAUAUUAGGAUGAUCCCAUGUCUGACAAGAUUCAAUAUAUGAUUUUGGAAGAUGAUAGAUAUAUGAUGUAGUUUAUGGAAGAAAGAAGGAUGAAUGAUUUUAAUAGUUUACAAGCAUCGGAGGAUAUUUGGCAUCAUGAUAGCUAACAAAUAUUCCAAUAGCUUAGCUUCAAUUAUAUGAGACAAUUUGUGAUGUGGUUUCUGAAACAAAGAAGAAUGAAUGAGAGAGGAGAUAGAGGAAUAACAUGGCAAUUGCGAGGAGUUACGUGAGUUUUGUUAAGCUCAUGAGGCAUAGUAGAAGGCCUCCAAAUUUUUUGGAUGAUGAUAAGAAUUACACAACAUUUUUCAUACGAGUAUCUUGAAUGACAAAUUUAUUAGCUUAACUUGAUAUACAUUGUUGGCUCAUUUUUUGACAGCUCAACUUUUUGAGACUUAGUGGUUGUCUAGCAUAAUAUCAUACCUCUGGUUCUAGAAUGAGGCUACACGCGUAAGGGAGAGUGUUAGCUAGCAUAGCUUGAUAUACAAUUUUCUAAAAACCAAGUAAACACAUCACCAUCUAAACAUUUUUUUAUUAUUAUUAACAAAUCUUGGGCGUCAAGAAAGCCAUAUAUGACCUUAUUCGGUGGGUAGGAUAAGUAUUAGGAUUAGAUUAAUGUAAUUAAAUCCUACGUUUUCAUCAUACUAAAAAAUAAAUAAGAAUACGAUACAAGAUAAGACAAUACAGAUGCCGACCCCCGCAAGGUCAUUCAACAUAAAAGAAAGCGAAAGAGACAACCGUUGAGGUGGGGUGUGGGGUAAGGAUUGAUGUAUGGUGGGUGGUGAGUGGUUUCCUCAUAUACAUAUACGCAUGUAGCAAAAUUUAAUUGGCUCUUACUCAAUAGGGUGCAUACACCUCCAUUUUCUACACUCACUAUGUUUGCCAGCUCGCUGUAUGAUCAACUUAAAUCAGUUAAAUCCAUUAUGUAAUGCAUUACCUUCUAUUUUUUUUUAUAAACUAAUAGAUAAUUAACUAAAUAAACAUUUUACAGUUUCAAUAAAAAUUUCCAUGUUUUUCUUACAAUUUUUGUUGUUUUUAUUCAAUUUUUAUCGAUAUAAAUAAUAUCUCGGUAUUCCCAUCGAAAUUUCCAUAUUUUUGGACUACUGAUAUUUCCGAUAUCAUCGAUAUUUUAGACCAUGACCAAAAUUACAUUGACUCCCAAAUUUCGCCAACACAAUAAAACACAGAGAUCAUUUUCACAUUUAAGCUUAUUUUUUAUGUAUAGAAAAAAUUAAUAAAAUAUACAAACGGCCUAAUCCUUUUUUUAUUUUUUAUUUCUGCCCCAGCUCGGCAAUUCAUUCAGUGGCUUUGAGAGUAGGCUUAAUUUGUAAGCCAAAUUUAGAUAAGAGUAAUGCUAUUUAGACACACAACAUUGACCACCUUAAUUGACCACUUUAUGUGGCAACUGAUGUGUUAUGCCAUGUCAAUUAAAAAACAAAUUAAAAAACCCUAGCAUUCCUAGUGAGUGGCCUCAUGGCAGCAUUCAUUAAUUGACAUGACAUGAGACAUCAGUUGCCACAUAAGAUGGUCAGUUAAAGUGGUCAAUAUUAUGUGUCCAAAUAACAUUACUCUUUACUCCCUUCACGCGUUUUCUUCUUUCUUCUCUCUCCUUUCCUUUUCUUUCUUCUCUCUCUUUUCUUGUUCUUCUUUCUCUCCACCAUUUUUUGUCUUUCUCUAUUCGUUUCUCUUUUGUUUUAUUAAAUCUCUAUUUCUCUCUUCUUCUUUUUUCAUGUGUUUCUCUGUCUACACAUAUGGUUUUAUGUGGUGAAGAUGUUAUGAGCUGAUGUUGAAUAGGCGGUUUGAUCAUCUUGAGCUUGUGGAUGUUUUGGUGGAGGACCCGACGGUAGUCUGAAUCACAUAGGUGUCCAAAAAAAAAAUUUAGCCCACCCUGUAAAAAAAUCGUGGGUCUGCCGUUGUAACCAAGGUGAAGAUAUGUCUACAGGCUUCCUAAUCCUAAAGCCUAAAAUUGGUGAUAACAAGAAAGCAUCUGAGGAUGCUAAAGUGAACAUCGAGCAGGAAAACAACAGCAGCUCGAACCCAGCAACGGGUUCCAAAAGCUGUGCUACUUCUAGGAACAAUAUUUGUCAGAAUGAAAUUACGGCAACCAAUGGCGCCACAGAUGUUGGGGUCUCCAACUUUGACAACUACGCCGUCGAAGGUCAAGGGGGCAGCGAAGGAACGAAGGGCUUCCCUGAACGCGGCGGUGGUUACAACAUUUUUUGUAAUAAAAUUAGUGCAGAUGGAGCCAGGGAUGUUGGGAUUCGCAACUUCGGCAACACCACACACGGCAUGCCUUUUACUACUGAGGAGGAUCAUGGAGAAGAAGCAGAAGGCCGCUCCAGUUCACCAAAGCCACAAGAGGGGCCCACCAGCUAACUCAUCAUCGAUCACAUGGUUUGGUAAAAUUAAAUAUGAAUAAAUAUAUGAAUAAAAGAAUACAUAAUCUCUUUUACCAUGGUUAAUUAUAGGUGUAGAAACUGAUUUUCCCUUAUAUUAUUCAUAUGAUCAUUACACAAUAUAUAUAAAGUCUGUAAAGAAUAAUCUAUAGUUAUAAUAAGUCAUUAUCACAAACAUAAAUAUGAAGUAAUGGCCUAGUAACAAUGUAACUGACAACUGACCAUUUCCUAUCAUUAGUAGGAUUAACUAUUGUAACUGAAAUACUAUUGUAACUCCAUAACACUCCCCAGCAAAUCGAGCGCGCACAGCAUAGCAAGAUUUUGAAUGAAGAAACUGUAUGGUGAUGGAGAUGGCAGUAGCAGUCGUCUGUAGUAGUCUAGUAAGGGAAACAAAAAGAAGAACUCCAAUUUCCAGAGUUGCAACAGCGGCAAGUAAACAUAACGCCCAUUGAAAGGCAGUAAGUGAAGGAGAGCAUGGGCUCAUGGAAGGAAGGAAUAAAAUGACGGGCUGACAUACAAAUCAAAUGUACCUAGGAAACAACUCUAGGCACCUGAGAAACAUAAUGCUACCUAGGAAUCAUCCUCUAUGUAGGAUAAAGAGAAAUAGACAAUGUUGUAAAGAGGAAUGAGAAAGAAAAAUAAUUCAGACAAGUGCAUUUUUUUAUUUAUAAAAAUAAUAAAGAUGAGGAAUGGAAACAAAAGAAAAUUCAUCACAUGGAAAGCAGAAAGGGAUGCUUGCAGAGAGAAAAGAAGGAAUAUUUGAAGGGAAUAAAGGGGUUAAGAUAGGAUGCAACACAAUAGUAGAGGAUUGGAGGUGAAACCAACCUGGGACAUAGAGAAAAGAAAACGAGAGCAUGAGUAAGUUUGAAUUUCAAGGCACCAUAGAAACAAUAAGGUAUGAGGAAGAAAACUACGGGGGAACAAAGAAGUAAUAAAGAAAAUAUUAUCACAAGAGGAUAGAGGCCCAUAUAGAUUAAAAUAUAGAAGGAUGAUUGACCCAAAAAAUAAUAAUAAGAAAUAAAGGAGGAAACCAAGUGAGACAGAGAAAGUAGUCAAGAGAGGGAGAGAGAACAAGAUGUAAGAGAGAAUCCAUGAAAAGGAAAGGAAACUCAAGAUUCCAGAGACAACCCAUGAUAGGGAGAGAGAAAACACAAUUGAAAAGAAGAGAAGAGAAUACCCUAGUAACAUAAAAGAAUUAUAAAGAAAAGAAGACAAUACCCGAGUAAUAGAGAAGAAGAAAGGCAGCGCAAGAGAACAUUGAAGAAGACAGAGACUAAUAGUAAAAUCAAAGAAAGAGAUUGGGCUUAAGAGGGGAGGAGAACACAGGUUGAGCAUAGAUAGAGCGUGAGAGGCCAAUACUAAGGCAGCAACACAAUGAUAAGGCUUGAGUGGCCGAUACCAAGUUGGCAACACAGAGGAAGAAACAGGGGUUGUACAAAGGGAACAUCGGCUGUGUAGCACGGCAGAGAAGGCUCGGCAAGUAUUGACGAGGCUCACGGAGGAAAGAGAGACGGCUCGAUGAGCGAUGACAGGCAGCAUCAACAAACAAAGGGAAAGUAUGGAAACCAUGAUAGAGAAACCAUCAGAAAUACAUGAGAGAGAGAACCCAUGAUUGCAGACUAGGAUAAGGCUCGUGGAGGGAAGAGAGACAGCUCGGUGAGAGAGACGAAGAAGUGGAGAGAGAUUUCAAGUGGAGAAACCAACGAUAAAGAGGUGUGAUCUUUGAGGGAAAGGAAAAGUUUUUUUUUUUUUUGCUCGGUUUCAACAGAGAGCAGUGGCCCAACAUUGAUGGAUAACAAGGGGCUAGCGAGCCAAAAGAGGGACAGGUAGUGGCUGUGUAAGAGAACAACAACGGCAGGAUAGCAUGACAUGAGAGAGAUAAAAGCCGGCGAGGAGAAGACUCGGUGAGUGGUGAUAAGGCUAGCAGAGGAAACAGAAAUCUCGCCAUCAUGGCCAAGGGAGAUAAAUGGAGCUGCCAUGGGUUACCACAAGAGAGCUCGAUGGAGGAGACGGUCCACAAUGAAGACAGUGCGGCGGAGACACAAAAAUAACGAGCUAACAUAAGUAAGGGUUGUAGUGGUAAAAUAAAGGUGCGGCUACAGCUAAGGUGGUAACGUGAAAUACACCUACCCCCCCUCUCUCUCUCUCUCUCUCUCUCUCUCUCUCUCUCUCUCUCUCUCUCUCUCCUUCCAAAACUUAUCAAGACACCUACCCCCUCUUCCUUCAACAAACCCAGCAGCAACACCACCGUCACUUUCACAUCACCUAAUACAACACCGCAAUACCAUAUCCAACCCAAAACCCAGCAUGUCACUCUAAAACCCGACCUCAUCAGAUCUGGCCUUCAACACCGACGAGCUAUUGGAGACUCUCUCUCUCUCCGUCUAUGUCGCUCUCUCACUUUUAGAAGUCAUUCAAAUAAUUUGUUUCUUGGAAUUGAUAUGAAUUUUUCUAGUUGUAGGUUUGAUUAUUUAUUUUGAGUUUGAGUGAUGUGAGCAAGAUUGGGGUGUGGGGCUGGGAUCGCACUAGUUUGGUUGCAAGAUUGGGGGUCUGGGAAGGUGGGUGUGGGUUGGGGUGAAGUGAUGUCGAGUUUGGGUGGCUUUUUGGUUGAUGGUUAGGAUGGCUGAGUUGGUGGUGCCUUGAAGGAAGCAGUCGGGCUAGAGGGAGAGAUAUAUAUUUUUUUCUUUUCAUUUUUGAUUUUUUGAUUUAUUAUUUAACUUUCCUAAUGUAUGAUAAAGGUAGAGUAGGAAGGAGAAGAAUAAAAACAAAACAAGAUUAAUUAAAAAGUAUUAAAAAACAAAAGGAAGUGUAAGUGGAGAAAAUGGAAGUGAGAAAAUAAGCUCUCUAAUUUUAUUAUGUAUACAGUAUACAGUAUGCGAAAAUAAGAACUCUUACGGUAAUCACCCAGGCUUGUAAGCCUGUUUUUAUGUAUAUGUUAUGUGUUAUUAAAAUUGUGAUUUUUCCCUUUUUAUAAAAUUUUUAUUCAAAACUUUUAGAUAUAAAGAAUAUAUAAAAUAAAUAUUAAACAGUAAAGUAAAAUAAAGAGACAAGUAAACAAAUAAAUAAAACAAGUUAAGAUUAAGAAAGCAAGCCUGGUAUAGUGAAAGCACGUCAAAGAGGGUGUCCUAAAGCCUUUGUAGCCUCCUUACGUGCAGGUAAUGACGGUCUACAAGACUCCAAGAUACGACCCCAAUACGUAGGCUUAAGAUCCGCUAUAAGUACGUUCACAGUCGGAUAGAAAACUCCAAGCCACAGAGCGGUUGCCCAAAAAUAAUAUAGAAAGUAUGGAAUAUGUGAAAGUAUGAGAAUAGAGAAAUCUGAUUGUAGUGUAUUGAAAUAUGAAGGAGGAGUGACCUUUUAUAGGCAUCCAAAACUCGUAACCUCCAAACACAUUUAACCAUAAAAAUUGGUGGCAAUGAAUAGAAAAUAAAAACUGAAAAUUAAACAAUUUGUAAAUCCUAUAAUAAAUAAAAGAAACCAGCCAAAAUUAAAACAGAAAAUAAAAAGUUUUAAAAUUUAAAAUUCUUUUAAAUAAUAACAAUUUGUGAUCAUAUAGGGUGGCGUUUAUAUAUAUAAUUCGUUACUUUGAAUUUGUCAGAUUACAUGUAUAUUAGGAUGAUCCCAUGUCUGACAAGAUUCAAUAUAUGAUUUUGGAAGAUGAUAGAUAUAUGAUGUUGUUUAUGGAAGAAAGAAGGAUGAAUGAUUUUAAUAGUUUACAAGCAUCGGAGGAUAUUUGGCACCAUGAUGGCUAACAAAUAUUCCAAUAGCUUAGCUUCAAUUAUAUGAGACAAUUUGUGAUGUGGUUUCUGAAACAAAAAAGAAUGAAUGAGAGAGGAGAUAGAGGAAUAACAUGGCAAUUGCGAGGAGUUAUGUGAGUUUUGUCAAGCUCAUGAGGCAUAGUAGAAGGCCUCCAAAUUUUUUGGAUGAUGAUAAGAAUUACACAACAUUUUUCAUAAGAGUAUCCUGAAUGAUAAAUUUAUUAGCUUAGCUUGAUAUACAUUGUUGGCUCAUUUCUUGACAACUCAACUUUUUGAGGCUUAGUGGUUGUCUAGUGAUGGACAUAUUUUAUAUUAUAUAUUUAACCUCAUUCUUAGUAUAUUUUGGUUAAUAUUUUGGAAGAAUUUUGAUACUUUGAAUUAUAUUUCCAAUAUAGGACUUUCGACUUUCUCUAGAGCAAAACAUAAUCAAAUUGAGGAAUUUUGGAGUAAUUCCAGUUGGAGGACGUUCUUGAGUCGCUUAGCUUGAUCGUACCAAAAUUUCAGAUUUUUCUUCCAAGCGGUUAUUUUCUGGCAACAAAAUAAAGGAGCAGUGCGCGGUGCUGGAAUAGUGACGUGUUGGGCUUCUAUUGCGUUUUUGGAGCCCAAGAUGACCUCGGAUGGGUUCGUGGCCUUCUAGAGAAGUGUUCAGAACAUUUUUAUCUUUAAAACAAGCUAUCUUGGGCCAGAUUUGGAGGAGAUUUGGGGCCAAAACGUGGCUGGGCAGAUUUUAGGCAGAUUCUCCUAUUCCAAUUUGGACUUUAUUUCCUAGUAUUAUUUUAUUUAAUUAGUUUCCUUGUGGGGAUAGAAAAGCUGUACAUUGGCAGCUAGGUUUUAAGGGGUAUUUAAGCUCUUUCUCACAAGGAAUUGAGGACUCCUUUUUUCACUUUUGAACUUUGUAUUGUGGAGAGCAAUUGCUAGGGUUUUGGGUUUUCACAACUUUCAGGUGUUUUCGUUCUUUUCUUCUUAAUGAUAUUUUCUUGGAUUUCAAUUAUGAGUAUGCGUAACUAAAUUUCUUUUGCUAGGGUGAAGCCUUGAACCUUAGCAGGAAUAUGUGAUUUUUAUUUAAUUGCUUAUGAUGAGUGCAUGCCUACUUGAAUUGUUAAUCACUGUUUUAAACUAUCUAAUUGUCUUAAUGCCUGAUCACCAUUAGGAUCUUUAGAAAAGUAAUUGGAUGCAAUUUUGGUCGGAAGGUUCCCUGAAAUUGAUGCUAGCUUCUUGUGAUUAAUAAUUGUAAUUUCACUUCAGAUGAAUACCACGUCUUAAGGGUUGCAUGGUUUUUUCAAAGGGUUUUCACAAAACUUAAUGAAUCUUUCAUGUUCAGAUUUGAUCCGAACGUCCGGACGGGUUGCAUGUUAGAUAUACGUUCUGUGUUGGAGGUUCCAAGUAUAAUAUACAUUAGGAAAACCUAACCUUCAAAGUGGCAUGUUUGCAAAUCAUAAGUAAUUGGUAAAAGUUCAUAGGAUUGCUAGGUGAUGGUGAAACCCUAGUGUUUUUAUAAAUUGAUAUUCAAAACUCUUUCUUUCAAUCGUAUUUGUUUUUGUUUAAUAUUUAUUUUUAGAAUCAACCAAAUUCAUAAUCAUCUUUCUUGACUUUUUAUUUUAAGUAGUAUUUGGAAUUUGUUUUUACAUAAAUUGCUAAUUAGUCCUUGAGGAAAACGACCUUGCAUGAGCAUCUAUACUACAAUAGCCUUGUAUUCUUGCAAGUAUUUUAUGUGAUUUUAACACUGUUUGCACAAGUACUAAAAAUCCUAUCAUCUAGCAUAAUAUCAUGCCUCUGGUUCUAGAAUGAGGCUACACGCGUAAGGGAGAGUGUUAGCUAGCAUAGCUUGAUAUACAAUUUUCUAAAAACCAAGUAAACACAUACAUGCAUAACUGGAUUAGCUUACUCACCAUCUUAACAUUUUUUUUAUUAUUAUCAAAUCUUGGGCGUCAAGAAAGCCAAAUACGACCUCAUUCGGUGGGUAGGAUAAGUAUUAAGAUUAGAUUAAUGUAAUUAAAUCUUACGCUUUCAUCAUACAAAAAAUAGAUAUGAAUACACACUAUUACAAAAAUCGCAAUAGAUGACGGUAAUCUACAGUCGUGUAUCAGGUUUUUCAACCGUCGUGAAAUCGACCGACAUCUUUUGAUGCAUAAAACCACGACGGUAAAUCCCCGUUGUCUAUUAUUUGUAAAGAUGACACUUUUACUCAAAACCGUCGUCUAUUAGAUGUAAAGACGACCAUUUUUUUGAAAGAACUGUCGUCUAUUAAAUUUAAAGAUGAGGGUUUUUUUUCGAAAGAACUGUCGUUUAUUAUAUCCAAAGACGUUGGGUUUGUUAAAAAGCCGUCGUCUAUUAAUUGUGAAGACUACGGUUUCUUGAAAUAUUGUCGUCUAUUAACUCUAAGACGAUGGUUUUUUCAACAAAAUCAUCGUCUAUUAACUUUAAAAUUGAUGUAGUAAUUUUACAUUUUAGCUUCUUCUUUUUUCUUGUUUCCAAUGGUAUCACAAAUAUAUACUCAAAUAUGCUAUUACUCACGCCACACAUAUAUACUCAAAAAUUGUUUCUUUCAUAAAUAGAAUAUCAAGAGUACAAUAGAACAAAUUAAAAUCUAAAAAAUGAAAGUACUCUAGGGCCGCUAGCUGCAAGCCUAAUUACAAUAAUACAUCAAAAUUCCUAUACCUAAUUAUCCUUCAAGUCAAGUUCUCCAUAUGUAUAUAGAGCUAUACCUUCAUCAUCACCACUUUUCCUCUGCAUUUAACAGCAGGUUGAACCGACACUACUUUCCCCACGCUAGCAGUAGCUUCGUUAGAACCACUUCCAUGGCGUAGGAAACUGCUUAACAAGCCAAAAUAAUGUAAUGGUGAGAUAUAUAAUCAAGAUAAUUAUAGAAGUAAGCCACUAAUCAAGUAAACACACAUGGCCUAUUUCUCAUGACAGCACAAAACAAAAGAUUAGAACGCAACAAACAAGCACAUAUUUAAGUAGGACGACUACACUAAAAACAUGUCCAGCUUAAGAGUCUGCGAUUGUAACCUCCACUUCCACACUAGGCUCAAUUGUAACGGAAGUAAUUUGCUUGAUGACAUCAGGAGAGCUGAAGAGGUCAAUCACCCUCUUGUGGACACGCAACUCAAAUCUGUCCUAUGUGUUGGUACCUGUAAAUCACAAACAAAAUUUUAAAGAUACAUAACCCUUUAAAAUGCAAAAACAAAGAAACUGUACUUCAAUAACUGGUCAGUCAUGAAUAGGCCACAGUAAGCAACAAAUUUUACUUAUGUAACUUGGCACAAACAAGAGAACUCCCAACUCUGAGUAAAUGGCCAUAGACAUAAGCCUUGCCUUGCCCAUAAAGCAUCAAGCCAUAAGUUAACAGUAAGGACAUUUCACAUUGAAACAUACCUUCACCACAAGUGGACUUCUUGGUGGUAAUGUGCAGAAUCUUGGUUAGCAUUCUCACGGGUCCCUUAACCCGGAGCCUCUUGUCUUUUGCACCAUGAACCAUAUCAAUGCAAACUAUCAAUAUGACAGAUGUCAAUCCAGCAAGCUAAAGAAAUAUAACAAAAAAAAUUUGAAUUCUUAAUAAUCUAAACAAACUUAAAAACUUUAUGUAAAGACAAUGGUGGAUAAACCCAUUUCAACAACGUCACACAUAAAUUAAGUACAAAUGAAACUGAACAGUAUUGAAGCUCAUAAAAACUUGCAUUUACAGGACUCUGGAAUUUAGAGAAUACCAAUGCAGGGGCAGAGGAGCAGUAGAGAGAAAAGGGAGGGUACUAUGGUUAAAGUCACUGAUUUGUUUACCCAUACCAUAAGACCGACUGAGACACCAUUCUAACACGCCCAUACCCUAAACCUCGCUUUAGCGUCACUAGGAACACAAGGGACAUACAGUUUACAAUAUCACCAAGCAACUAAAAGGAUACGAAAGAUAUACAUCCGUAGGUAGUUGUUAUUCUUGUUCUGAAAUAACGGAUUUUAAGGCCAGGCUAAUAAAAUGUAUUCAAAUAAUUGCAUAAAUUAUUUGUAGGAACUAUUCGAUAUAGGUUAAAAUAUUUCUAAUUAAUGAUUGGAUUAAGGAGCGCGUACGAGGGUAAAUCAACCUAACAAUUAUAUUCUAUACUUUUAUGCAGCUAAUAAGUGGGUAGCCAAUCGGCAUGAUUUAAUUCAAGUCCACAUGCAGAAGUCUGCAUCCGACAAGAAGUUAUCCGUCGGGAAAUAAUGAAUAAAAAUAAAAGUUAGCAUUAAAGCAAUUGAAGGACAUGAAUAAUAUGAAAUAAUAGUAUGUUCUUCCAUGCUUUAGUCUUAAUAUUAUAUUAGGUAAGAGAAACUAAGAGCUGAUACAAUACAAUGGUCGAGGCUUAUAGGCCUCUCUUUUUCAUGUAUGAUAAUAUCAUAUGGUAUUAUGGAAGUUUAUUUGUUGCGAGUAUUUGUCUCACAUUAAGAAAUUGGCAUGAGCUUAUAAUCGAUUGGACUAUUUUCACUAUUGUCAAUUGGUUUUGAAGUGGAACAUCAACUUCAUUAUAAUUAAGAAGUUGAGCUACUCCCUAUAUGAUAACCCUUUUAAGCAAAUCUUAACAACAAAAAAUGGAAAUAGAAUGCUAACAAUGAAAAUGAAUCCAUUCAAAGGUUGUUAUCUUGAUUGGGACAAUAUCCUUACCUUACCCCUUUCCUUUUCCGUGUGUUCUGCAUUCCCAUAACAACAAUCAGCAAUGUGAUUUCUUCAUCACUUAGGGCAUGUUUACAUAUCAGUAAUGGAGAAAGUAAGGAAUCAGAGAAUUUAAGAAUCAGGGAACUACUGAAUCGGUAUGGGAAGAAUCAUUCCCAUUAAGCUGUUUACUAAAUAUAUGGAAUUAGCAGAGAAAUGAGGUUGAUCGCCGUUGUUAUUGUUUACUAACUUUCAUGAAUCAGAAUCCAAAUUAAUUUGAUUACUAAAAUGCCCUGCACAUUUUCACCACAAUACAUAUAUAAUUCUCAAAUUGACUAAGAAGACCAAACUAAUCCUGCAACAAACCAGUAAGGCGGUGUAAACAUGAGGAAUCAAUAUGUUGAACAAGAUGAGCAACAGGAGCCCAGUUCAAUGAUAAUAUUAAUAACACUUUUGUCCAGAGCCAAUUUCAAACGAAAAAAUAAAUUCCAAUAAAUAUAUAUCUUUCACCUACGUAACUAGUACACAAUCAAAUAAUAAUAACCUGCAUAAUCUUCAUACGAUUAAAUACAUGGAACUUCUUGGAAAUAAGUUUUUAUUUUUUUUAGGGUCGGAGCGUCUUGGAACUUCUUGACUUGAGUUUUUAUUUUUUUUAGGGUUUGGGGUGUUUUGGAAUUAUGGUAAAGUGGUAAGGGUAUUUUCGGAAGUUACUAAGAGAAAACAGGAAUGAGAAUCGUAUCGACUACUCUCCCUAGUUGAUCUAAUACCUAGUUUUGAGGGGAUGUGAUUACGAAUUUUGAGAUGGGGUCCACUUAUUUUUUCAUUCCUGAUUGCAAGUAAAUGCAGGGGAAGUCAGGAAUGGAAAUCAUUCCCUUCCUCCAAUACCUUUUGGUUAUUGACCGCUCCUUUUUUAUUUUAUUUUUAAAAUUUUAUAUUUAAAUUUAUAAAAUCUACAGUUCUUAGUUAUUUCUGUGGCUGCGUCAAUUUCAAAAUUGAGGACUUUUUUUCUUCUAUUUUUAUGUUUACAUGUUGUAUAUGGGGAUUUUUUUUAAUUUCUAUUUUUAAUUUUGCAUAUAUGUAUGUGUGUUUGAGCCUUGACAUUUUCAGGGUAAACAAUAUGGGGACAUUCAUUAUGCGAAGUUAACUCUCUUUUUAAAAUUAUUAUUAUAAUACAAGAGAUACCCUUUUUAACUCUCUUUUUAAACCAUUUCUGAAUUACAAAGGGAGGGGAGUUUUUUUACAUAUACUAUCAAAGUAUUAUGAAAUUCAAACCUGAGAGUAGUCUUCAAGUCAAUACCCUUUUUAACUGGCUAAACCCCGUCAGCUGUUAGACUCUCUUUUGAUAGAGUAAACGCAUACAAAGUCGUUGUCAUUUUGUUUGGCAAACUACGCUGCAAGACUACAGACGAAGCAGCUAGCGGGUUGAGUGAAGGUUAGCAUUCAAGCCAACGACACGAUUUAAUUUAAUAAUAGUCUGUUCGUCAUAUGCUUUAAUUUAAUAAUGUAUUAGGUACGCGAUAUAAUACAGUGACUGAGGCUUGUGGGCCUAUUUACUUUCUUUGAAUAUUUACUAGAAAACUAAACAUUUGUUUUGAGUGAUUAUCUCGAAGGCUUUUGUUUAAUCUAAAAGCGCGACCAAUCUUUUAUCUUACAAAAGUACAAACUAAGAGAGGGCAAGACACAGACUCAAGCCUCUCAAUUGUAUGAUGAAUCUAAUAACAUCGUUGCUUACCAACUCUUUGUACCUGCACUAUAGAAUUCCGACGUGACUUAAUAACUUUUUUAAAAGCAAGACACAAACUCAAAGCAUUUUAAACUGUAUCAUGAUAAUGUAAUUUACUACUAAUGAUAAUAUCAUUGAGUAUAGAAUUUGUAUUUGACUAAUAAUUUUGAUGUAGUAACGCGUUUUACGUACGUAAUAUUAUUAUAAUGUGUGUGAACUGAAAGACCAAGUGGCCGUGAGAGGAUUACACCGAAGAAUUUCUCAAUAUAUCAAAACGAGAGGCAUAUAUGGCUUGGUAAAAUAUUGUUGGUCAUGAUCAUGUUCUCCAACUAGAAUUGUAGUAGUGAACUUGAAGGAAUUCAUAAUAAUGGAAGCGUACGUACGGCAGCACCAGCAGAUAUGAUCCUCUAAAUAAUGAUAUCAACAAGAAAAAUGACGCCACAGAUGUUGGUAUUUCCAGCUCUCGCAGCUCAGAUGAUGUCGACUGGAGCGACGCCGGCGGUGGCGGUCAAGGAAAGGUGCCCAAAGGUGGCGGUCACAACAUUAGGAGCAAUACCAUUAUAGGAGAUGGAGGCGAGAAAGGGUUUCACAACUUUAGAAAUUGCACUGAAGAUGACGGCGGCAGCAGCAACUAUAUUAGUGAAAAUGAAAUUAGGGCACGCAAUGGAGCCUCAAAAGUUGGGAUGUCCAACUUUCACAACCAGGAUGGUGAAGGCGGCGGUGAAGGAAAGAAACCCAAAAGCGUCGUGGGUCACAACAUUUGUGACAACAAAAUUAGUGCAGAUACUUCCACGAACGUGGGAUUGCACGACUUUGGCAACAUCAAAUAGAACUGCAAGACUACUAGUACUAAAGAUCAUCAUCGUUUUGGGGAAAAUAUUUUCAAAAGUUCGCAUAAAACAACUGAAGCACAUAAAUAAUUGAAAUAAAACAAUAGUCUUUGGUAUGUGUAUAUUUCGAUGUACGAAAAAUAAGAGCUCAUACAGCUAUCUCUGAGGCUUGCAGGCCUCCUUUUAUGUAUAUGUAAUAAUAUUCUUGUUUUUCGUUGCCUAGGCAAUCCUCAAUGGAAGAGUUUUCGGGCCCUAUAUCCAAAAAUGUGCCGGAGAGCUAAUGCUAAAUGUGUGUACUAGUCUAUUGUUUGGUGCUAUACUUAACUUUGGCAUAGACUGGUGCACUGUUGGUACAAGACUGAAUUGGACUACUGGAUCUUAUUGAUGGACGAAUUCCAAGUGAAAUACCAAAUCUGACUCCUAAAUUCACUCCUUAUUAUUGACCAAAAAGAAAUAAAUUUCUCUCCUUAUUAGGCUGUCAUGUUUGGGGUUGACUAUGAUGAUUGCAUUUUGCUAAAAUUGAAAAUCAGGACUGUCAUGUUGGGUGGUUUUGUUCAAAUUGGGAACUGUCUGUGAUUGUAUGUAUGCUAAUAUGUUUACAUUUAAUGCUUUUUCCUUUUCAUUUCAGUUGGGAACUGAUCAUUGUGGUCGUGGAGCUUCCCCUCGUGGUUUGCGCUCUUUUAUUCAACUUUUUGGGGGUCUUGCGUAUGUUUUAUAACCAUUUCUCUGAUACUUAUGUUUGAUUCUAAUAGUGUUGCAGGAUAGACUAUUUGGAAUUUUUGAAAACUGUCAAAAGUUAUUUAUUUUAAUUACAUAAUGCUGCAAACUCCAGCUUUCUUCCAUGCUCUAAGUAAUUGUUAUGCUUUUAAUUUUUGUUUGUGUUGAUGCAUGUUGUAUGUCUCCCUUACUUUGUUCUUUGGUCAAUACUCAAGUAGUAUUUUUAUUUCUUGUUAUAUGCAAUAUGGUUAUACUUGGCUGAUCACAAACUUUCUUUUUUUACUAGCUCUUGUUGUUUCCUUAUUUCUCCGCUUUUAAUCCUCUUGAGAAUGCUUUUCCCUGUUUCAUGUAUUUCUUAUUAGUCGGACAGUGCUUAGGACUUUAGAAUUUUUUAGAACUUUGAUCCAUAUGUUAAUGUUUUGGCAGUCUGGUAUGGUUAGGGAGGCUCCAGCCAAAGCAAGUCGAGCUUGUAAUGUACUGCAAUUCUAGCUCUUCAAUGUUGGUGUAGAUGCAUAAUACUGUAUUCUCUUUCUUUUCAAGCUUUUAAUGUUGGAUUGAAAUAUUUAUAUCAUUUAGUUAUUAACAAUUUGAGAGUUGGAAACUAUCAAGUACUGUGCAAUAUUUCAUGAUAAUUGUUGAAUGAAGAUAUGACUUCUAUUUAUUUUAGUUUGGCAGUACAAGAGUUGAAUGACGUGCGGGAGAACAAAAAAAUUCAUUGUUACACCACUUGAUAAACCUAGAUUCAAUCGAUGUCAUAAUUAUAAUAAACAUCAUAUUAUAACAUGAAGUGUUGUUUUUACCUCUUAAGACAUCGGGAAAUAUAUCAUUAUAGUGGUUCUUGUUAAAAAGAAUCGCAAAUAUGAAGAAAACGAUGCUCAUAACAGCCAGACACUACAAUGUGUGAAAAUAACCGAUGCUAAAACCUUAAGUGAUGUGAUUCUUAUGAAAAGGCAUCAGUGCUAUAUAAAGGACUGUUGUUGUUGUAGUCAAAGACAUCAGAAGUCAACAAAAUUUGGACGAAAGUCAAUAAUUGAAGCUCAUUAAGGCAUCAUUUUGUUGAAGAAACCGAUGUUUAUGUAAAAGGCAUUGAUUUUCCCUGAUGACUUUUACACCCCUCCUUUAACAUCACAUUACGAGGCAGCCGUAUGUGAUAGUAAAACGCAUCAAUUUUCUCUGAUGCCUGUUAGCCUUUUUUUGGUAGUGUGAACUCUCGGAUGGAUGUCUCGAUUGCUGAGUUGGUUGCUCCUUUUUAUAUCGAGGGAUGACUCAUAGUUAACCAUACAUGUCGAUGUGGGAUUAAAUACAUGAUUCUAACAUAUAUAGCCAUGAUUCAUAUCCAACAAUUAGAACCUCAUGUAUGUUGAGGUUCGAUCCCAAGGAAUAAUAUUUUUUCCUCUCACAUCCUUACACAGGGUCAUAAAGUAGAUAUAUAUAUAUAUAUAUAGUCCCUUUCUGUUAGGGAUUCUUUAAAUAAUUUUAUUUGAGGGAUACCCUUUAGGGUACCAUACGAUUUUUUUUUUUUCCAACGAUCCAAACUAUCUAAUUUUGAAGUCUUCAUUCAUAGAUCUUCCUUACAACAACAACAACAACAACAAAAAAGACAAAUUGAAAAUCAUUAAAGCAUCUAAUUAAGACCAACAAAAUUAAUGAACACGGUGCUUCAAGAAAGUACACAAAUUUCAAUAAUUUAAUUGAAUGGUCAAAUGAUAUCGGAUUCAAGUAUUUUUUUUUUGUAGAGAUGAUCUUAUAAUGAAUAUUCACACAAUAGACGAUUUAGAUUAGUGAAAUAUAAUAUGGAGUGGGCCUUACAAAGGUGUCACUCUUCACUUUAUGAACCUGUGUUGACAGAAGUGUGAGAAUAUAGCUUAGAAAGCAAGCUAAUGCCCACUUGACAAUAUUCCUCCACUUUUAUCUAUAUAUAGUGGGGAGAAAUAUACCAUGUUUUGAAAGUGGACAAGGCAAAGCAAUCUUCAACUUUGACCAGCUUCCAACUGAUACGUACAAUGACAUUUACCAAUAUGCUGAAGGCGUUGGGUUUGCUCAACAAUGGUCCAGCUCCAGAGCAAUGCUACAAUCCAAAUAGUACCAGAGGCACUCCUGCACCUGCUACUUCCAAAGGAUAUAAUCAUCCAGGUUAUUCUCCUCCUCCUCCUCCUCUUCCUAAUGUGGUUAAUGGCUAUCCAGUCAAUAAUAAUUACACUCCUAAUCCUGCUCCUAAUGCGUACUACUACUAUUAUCCCACACAACCAGCCCCAACUAAUCCUUCAGAAAUAAGCCAUGAUAAUGUGACGACGUUUGUUCCUCAUGGACAUGACAUUAGUGAGGGCUUAAAGCCACCCAAUGCAUAUGACAAUAGUUCCUCAAUUGCUGGACCUGACCAACCGGCAAAUUCGAAAAGUAGAAUUAGUACUUGUGCUAAUCCCCAGCUGCCCAAGAGUAAUGGAAAAGUUGACAAGCACAAGAAUAUUGGAGAAAAGAAUGGCAAGAAAAAGAACGGGAAAAAAAAGAGUUCCAGAUCAAGCGGCGAUUCAUUCAAGGUUCAUGGGAAUACUAUUAAUGGAGGCAAAGGCGACAAGGUUGGAGUUUUCGACUUUGGUAACAAGUAUAGUAGAGGCGGCAAGAAGAGAGAUGAAGAAGAAGAAGACUCGACUGAAGAAGAAACUGACUCCGGUACUGAAGACGAAAGAGAUUAGUUCUGAAGUAAUUACUACAUAUAUGAUGGCAACAGUAAAUAAUGGAGUUGUCAAAAUAUAUAGGCAACUUACAUGGUACUUAAAGAUCAAAUUCAAAGCAAAGGACCCACUAGUGUAGUGGUUUUUGGAGUAUUUACUCCCUCAGGCAAGGUCCUGGGUUCGAGUCCUAGCAUCCGUGUUGUGUGUGUGAGUUUAAUAUACUAUCGCCCCUUUCAAUAGAAAAGGACCUCAAAAAAAAAAAAAAAAAAAAAAAAAAGAUCAAAUUCAACAAUAUUCUGUAAAUGUUAUCUAGUCACUCUUGAUUUCAAAGAAAAAAAAAAUUGUGUAACGAUUAUAUCUAGCUAUUCAAUCGCAGUUAUGGUGGAUAUGUAUUCAAUCUUAUGAAAUAAUAUUUCAUUUGAGAGCAGUUAUUUUCAAAUAGCAAGUACUCGAAAUAUACGUUGGGAUUAAGCAAUCUUUAUUUAUUUAUUUAUUAAAGGCCAAAGACCAAAAGACUUUAUUCAUCAAUAAAAUGCAGAGAACACAAAUCAUCUGAAGGUAAGAGUGAAGCCAACUAGGCCCCCUUCAAUCCAAUAACAUGUCUCAUUACAAGAUUAAGCAAAUUUGGCUAAUUGGGGAGCCACAAAAUUACAUGAACGAGUGCUCAUGUCAAAUUCAGUUCGGUUCAUGGCCUUAAUCACCUCCAAACAAUCACUUUCAAUAAUCAACCUUGUGAACCCUGCAUCUAAUGUCAUAUGACAACCUAGGCUUCAAAAGCCUUAGGUAAAGACAGCCAAUUACAAGUUUAGCCAUGGCAUCCAUUAAUUCUUCAUUGGCAUUUCGGACUACUACCCCAUCUUUCUAUCAGCCACACAACAUGCCAUCAACAAUUAAUUUUAGCAAAUCCCCCUCAGGAGGUUUCCAACGUCAAGUAACUAAUUGGGACUAAGUAAUCUGCAAAGUGACUGGAAGAUUAUUUUUUCUAGCCACUUGAAAAAUGUUACUCUAUUUAGCUAUGAGAAUCACGACAUUUCUAAUAAUAAAAUAAUAUCUCUUAUUGUAAACAUUUUCUAAUAUUAAAAUAAUAACUCUUAUUAGAAACACUUACAUAUAUGUUGUUUACACAAUAAUCAACCGAGCAUAUCCAGCCUCAAAGCGACUAGCACCAAAGGCAGACACGCCUUCUUCCCUGCCGAAGGAAGACAUUUUUCUGAGGUACCAAGCACCUGCUGAAGCUCCCGACUGCCGAACCUAAUCUCCAGCACACGUGUCACCACCACAGUGACUUGCACAAAGUCCCACAUCGAAACUUUGUGCAAACCUCCCACUUUCACCUCUCUAUAAAUAGGGAACAAUACCCAAGUAAAAAGGGUAACUUCUCUCUCACUUUUACUGUUACCCUACCAAUUUUACUACUCCUAGCUGACUUAAGCAUCGGAGAGCCUUCGGCCAGCACCACACCGGUAUUUGAAGCUUAACGACUGCUUCUUCUAUUUUAUCUUCUCCAGACUCUUCUCUUACCAAAGGUCCGCACCUUCUCCCCUGCUUAAGGCAAUCUACUUCUCUCUAAGUUCACCUCCCAAAAAGAGCAUCAAUGCGUGUGACAAUGACAGAAUGCAAAAGAUAAGGAGAGAAAACGAUGAGGAUUAGCAAAGCCUCUUCUUUUACAUAAUAGUCUUGAUAGAUAUGUUUCCUAAAAAUGUCCUCAAAAUACUUUUACAGGUUGGAGCCUAACACCAACAAAUGCAGUGCAGUAGUGGGUCUUGGAAAAGGUUUAAAGUUAGAAUCUUCCUCCGUGUCAUGACUCAUACAUAACAUUUGAGGUGUGAAACAUCCUUCAACCAAGAAAAACUGGAAGCCAUAAAGCUUGACGUCUUCGUAGCAAAAGAGAAAGGGUAUAUAUACUUUACUUUUCGUAAAAAGAAAAGGUAUAGUCAGAAUAAAAUUUUCUUUUUAUUUGAUGGUGAGAAUGAGUAAGCAGUGACAGAUUUAUUUAAGGGUGAGUGAAGACUAUUACCCUUAUUAGGUCCUUUUUGUUGCCCGUGAAAUUCAAUUGAUACUCUUUUUGAGCAAAGUGCUAUGGGGACAAACUGUUUGAUAAAAUUCCUUACAUAUAAAUUAUCUAGCACCCACCAUCUUCUUUUUGUUUGAUGCUAAGAAUAAAGUUCAUUCAUUGUAUUAUCGAUCGAGUAUGGCUAAGUCCUUAAUAAAAAAACCCAGUACUCUAAACCCUCACGCAUACGACUUCAUUGGAAUAUUCAAAGAGCGUUUGAAAAGCUUUCAGGAAUUGGAAGCCAAUUCUUUAUUACGUGCUAAGAAAGAAUCAUAUUCCGCCCAUACCAGGAAGAAAUAUCAUCAUCAAUCACAUUCUCUUCUCGACAAAGCUAACACUUAUAUAAGAACCCAAGUUAAUUACCAAGACGUGUAUGCAAACUUAAGAUAAAAAAUGUCGACUGGCAACCUAUUUCUAAAGCCUGACUUGGAGAACCAAAACAGCAGGUUCUCGAGGCCACCAGGUUAUGCCCCCCAGCCAGCAGCUGCUUCCAACAGCAAUGGAAAAAGUGGCAGCAAAGCAAAGAGUGGCUCUAAGAAAAAGAAAGGCAAGCCAUCAGGCGAUAAUUUCAGAAUUAGUGGGAAUACUAUUAACGGAGGCAAAGCCGACAAGGCCGGAGUUUUCGGGUUUGGCAACAAGUACAUUGGCCGCAAGAAACAGAUAGAAGAGGAGUCCAGUUCUGGAAGCGAAAGCGAUGACUCCAGUGAAGACAGAGAGUGAAGUGUAUAAUAGAAGGUUUGUGGACCAUAAUUAAAUAAUGACUUUUCCACUGCCUCUUAAUAUGCACUGAAUUACUAAAAAUAGCUAGAAUAACAGAGGUUUUGUAGGCCUCUUUCUCUUGUUAUACAUAUAUGUGUGUAAUUUAAAGAGAAAUAAUAUAUAGGCAAACCUUGCUAUAUAUAUGAUCCACAUGCAAUUCCACAUUAAUUAAAGCGACCCCAAAUGCAAGACAGGACUUCCAAUUCAAUGAUAUAAUUGAUGCUGAAGCAAUUUUCAACCUAGAUUAGUACUAGUCUAACCAUGUUGGAUCAAAGUCACUAAAUUUGAGGAUUAAACCCAACUCCUCAAUGAAAAUUUGGAUCUAUAUCAUAUUUUUUAUAUUUAUUUCUCAAUACAAAAUUACCAAUUUUCAGCUAGCUUGUUCCUAUAUACUAGAUAAACAAUCUUAACAUGAUUCCAUUCCCAGGUUCAAAGCAUUUGCAAUGCAAACCCUCUCUUUUUCAUCUAUGUCCAACAGUUUUGGGAUCCCUUUCAUGUUGUAGGGUCUGAUAUGAUAUGAGUUACUCCUCACCUUUCUCAGUGCCCCAUCCUUCUAAAUCCUUUGGGCCUUGACAACAAUAACUAAUUUUGUGGAUCCCUAAACCCAAAAAUAACAAGAAAAACUAAAUAGGGACUGCUACGGGCCUUCAAACAAGGUAAGGCCCAGAGAGGAUAAGGUAGGUUGGAAAAUAGGACAGUUGGGUGCAAAGAUAGGAUUGUGGUUUUUCAAAUUUUCAUGGUGGGUGAGAAGAUAAGGUAGAUGGGGAAAUAGGACAGGGGGUGGAAAUAGCAGCACUAAUUAUUUUUCAGUCAAAUUCGGAGUAGAUUAAUGAUUUGCAAGUAUAUACAUUUUGUGCAAUGGACACAAAGAAACAAUCUGUGACUCUGUCUUUGGUGCUUAAACUUUGGCAGGUUUGAAUUAUAUGGGUGUAGCAGGGACAACUCUUGCUGUUAGAGCUACAACAAGGAGAGGUUGAAGAUAAAAUUUGCAGGUGUUUGACUGGGAGUUAUCAGAAGAUGACCUUGACAAGAUCAAUCAAAUCCCACAGCACAAAAUGAUGAGGAGAGAGAAGAACUGGAUUCGGCAGAUGGAUUAUUAUCACGAUACAAAUCCGUUGAAGAAUUAUGGGACGGAGAGAUUUAGACCUGAAAACCAACCCUUGUUAAGUAACAUGGAGUGCAUCCAAAAAAAGGCGCCAGGGCCCAUCUCUAAUAGGAUUUUUAUACUUGAUAGGAAGGGAGGCCUUCCACUAUAUAUUUUUUUGGUUAUCAAACAGGAGCUUAAAUAUUGAGAAUUUGAGGUGAUUCCAGAGUAAUCCUUUUUGGUCGCCUCAAAUUCUAUAAUCCAUAAACUAGAUCUUAAUAAGUAAAAUUUGUCAAUUUGUCGAAAUAAAUUGCCAUAAGCUUCCUAGAAACACAAGGGGCUCACUAAUCAUCAAUUAAUCAGAAAAUGGAUGUGAUUGCAAUCAAUUGAAAAUAGAAAGAAAAAGAAGAAGUGAGUAUUUUUGAUAGUUAAAUAGGACGUAGUUAGUUAAUUUUAUAUUUUACUUUAAAUAUUAGGGUGUACGAUUAUAGGGUGCACUCAGUAAAUUUUAGGGUUCGUUUAACAACGCCCUUUAUUUAUAGAAACCAAACAAAUCAGAAAGAGAAUUGAUCAUUUUUACCUUAUGGGUAAUUAAGAUAAGAGCCGUAUCCCACACUACCCCAUCUUUAGUAUGUUGUUCCUCCAUAGGCUGUUCAUUCAUAACAUAUUAGGGGUUGUUUCGUACGGGGGACUGUCAUGUACUGGAUUAAAUAUUGGUACUGUCUUAGAUUGGCUUGGCCUGGCAUAAGCUGGAUAACACUUGUACAGCGUUUGGUGUAUGUUUGAUUGGACUAGGACUAUAUAUAUAUAUAUAUAUAUAUAUAUAUUUUUUUUUUGAAGUAAGAUUUUUUAAUAUUUUUUUGACUUUUCUUCUCUCUCCAUCUUUUUCUUCCUCUUUGCAUCUCGUUUUUUUCUUUUUUGGACGAACCUCUCUACAUCUCUUUCUUCUUCUUCCCCUAUACAUAUCUUCCAUCUUCUUCUUCUCCAUUCUCUCCUCUUCUUCUGUCUACUUUUCUUUUCUUUUCUUUUUUUCAAAAAUUUUCUCCCAUCUUCUUUGUUUUUUUUUUUCUAAAAUUUUCUCUCCUCUUCUUCUACAUUUUCUUUCCUCUUCGUCUCCAUUUUCUUUCUCCUUCUCUAUUUUUUUCGAAAAAUUUCUCUCAUCUCUUCUUCUCCAUUUUCUCUCCUCUUCUUUGUUUUGUUUUUCGAAAAUUUUUUGUUCUCUCCUCUUCCUCUUCUAUUAUGUCUUCUCCUUCUUGGGUGGCUGUGGUUGGUGGCUGGUGGCUGUGGUUGGUGGUCGUGGUGGGUGGUCGUAUCUGGUGGUUGGGGAUGGUGCUUGUGGCUGCCGCUUGGUGGGUCGUUGAUUGUGGGUGAAACAAACAUGGGAUAAAACUUUAGCCAAACCAGUCCAAGCUUGCACGGUGUAACAAACAUGCCCUUAUUAUAUUAACAUAGCAGCUUAAUUUGAAAAGGACAAGAUUCUUAUCUUAAGGAAGCUUCGUAAUGUCUUAAUUGUUUGCUGGUCGUGAACCACCAUUAUAACUGGGCCCAUUAUUAAGGACCUUCAAUUUUCUUGUUUUUGAAUUUAUUCUGGAUUUGCUCGAGCUCCAAUUGUUUGGAAGUCACGGAACAUAUAAGAAGAAUCGAAUACUUCAAAGGUAGUGAAAUUAUUCGAAAAAACUAAUUAAAGUAAAAAGAAAAAGAUUGUGUUCAAACUAGCUAGCUAGUGAAAGGGUGUACCACGAAUAUUGAGACCUUGUUUUUUUAUAGAUCAAAGAUAUAUGAAUGGGACAUUUGAUUAUAGAUAUUAGGUAUAUUCCCCUUUUCAAUCAUAUGAAAAAAGUUAAUUUCAGCCCCAAUUCCUAUAUUAAAACUUGCCUUCACACUUUGGAUUCUACACUAGUUUCGAUUCAAACAACUCCUUCUUCUUAAUUUGUGCUACACAUAUAUAAAGACUCUAGUUAGAGGUGCACUACAUUUAUUCCUAUUAUCACUAACUUAUUAAGAAAUCAUUUUUAUUUGCUAGCAAUUGGGUUCUCUCUCUCCCUCCCAAAUCACGUUUCUGGAGUUUGGGUGGGCCGAGGGGUACGACCUUUCCAGGUUGGUUGUUCCUCAUUAGCAUUAUAUGUUGACGAAAUGGACACAAUUCACAUUCCGAGGGCAUACAGUACGUAACUUGGCAAGCAAGCUAAGACUACGAGUAGAUCAUGAUCUAUAAAAGGGUAGCAUGUUGAUGAUGUUUGAUUUAAAGCGGCCAAGGCAAAAAUUAGCAACCUAGCUAGUUAGCUAAGUAAGUAGUUUUGAGCGUCCAAACUUUUUCCUAGCUAAUGGCAUGUUCUUCUUUUAGGGCGGUAAUUUCAUGUUGUUGCUGUUGUUUCAAGUGUGAGGAAACUCACCAGCCUGUGAAAGAUCCACAGCCUCCUCCUAAAAAUUAUGAUAGUCCCAAACCUACUGUUGUGGAUCCACAGCCUCCUCCUAAAAAUUCUGAUAGCCCCAAACCUACUGUUGUGGAUCCCAGGGCCGGCAUGACUUUCAACAUUCAUGGGAAUGAGAUUAGCAACAACAAAGCCGAUGACGUCGGAUUAUCCCAAUUUGGCAACAAGAAGAAUGGCGGCCCCAUUGCUAACAACCAGGAUGGCGGCUCCCAUGGUGCCAAGCAGGGUGGCGGUGACAAACUUCAUCUCAACUUACAGGGUGAAAGCGACAAAGUUUGUUUCAACUUAGAGGGUAAUAAAAUUCACGGGAACCAGGCCAAGAAUGUCGGAUUUUCUGAAUUUGGCAACGCCUGAAUUGGAAGAAAUGGCAAGAUCUCGUUGCAUGCAAUUGAGGAAGGCCAAUAGGAUCACUUUUGCUUAUUAUAUAUGUACUAAGUCUAUCUACUAAAAUAAGAGCUGAUAAAAAGUAUCCUAACUCAAGUUUGUCUUCGCUUGCGUCUCUUUUCCAUGAAUGAUAGAUUUAGAUGUCAAAUCACCAAAAUAUGUAUGUCAAGAUUUGAAGAAAAAGGAAUUGAAAAAAACAAAUGAAUUUCAAAUGACUCCUUACAUAUAGUCAUUUUAAAUUCAUUGCAAAUGUAUUAAUUACAUUAAAUACAUUCAAUCAAAUGCUAUCAAUUUUAUUUUUUAGCAAAUUUAAACUUGUUGUCAAAUUCAAAUUUUAUUUUUUUUUUCGAAAAUAUCUCUUAGAGCAUCUACAAUGAGCUCUCUAAAUCAUCUCAUUAGACAAAUUUUAGGGAGGAAUUGAAAAAAUACAACUCCAACCAUGCUCCCUAUUCACCUCCUAAAAUAGGAGACCUCUAGGAGCUCUUAAAUCAGAUAAGAGAGAAAUGACUCAUAGUGGCUCCCUAUAAUUUAAUGCUGUUAUUAUUAUUAUUAUUAUUAUUUUUAGAGAUGGACCAAUCAUAUUGAAUUAAAAACUAACUAUAGUAUUUAUGACUCUCUAAACUAGGAAGUAUGAUUGAAAUUCAAAUUUUGUAGAGAACUCUCUUAAAAUAACUUUUAUAUAUUAUUAGCUAAAUUUUAACUAAAAAAUAAGAACCAUGAUUAUAGAUACUCUUAAUAACUAAAAAGGUCAAACCAAUUUCCAAUCAUGAGUCAAAUCAAAGUAGUUCUAAACUUCGUGAAAAUGAGUCACACUGAUCACAAUCCACAAAUCCCAAGGAGUCACUCUUUGGGUUUGGUAAAGGUGCACAAUAUGGAUAGAAAUAAACAAGAAGAAAGAAGAAAUUUUAUCGAGUGAAUGUGUUUGGCCGGUAAGGUUCCAAGUGCCAGACUAUUCAGUUGGUUUGGUUGUUCCAAGGAUAAGAAAAUUCUGUGGAAACUAGUAAAGCAAACAUUUAUUCGUGUAGAUAUAGAUAUAUAUAUAUAUAUAUAUAUAUGGGAAGUCAUAAAGGGUUUUAUAAUUUUGUGGAUUAUUCUCUCUAUUUUUUUUUUCUAAUUAAGUAAAAACUGGGAAGGGGAAAUCUCACACACACGGGUACCGCAGGGAUUUGAACCAAAGUUCACUUGGGAGCACACCAAAGACCUGAAUCAAUCCAACCAACACCCUAUUAGUAGUUCCACUCCAGUUCCUUUUAGUAGAACCUGUUAAAAACUGGGAAAGGGAAAGCUCACACACACGGGUACCGCAGGGAUUUGAACUGAAGUUCACUUGGGAGCACACCAAAGACCUGAAUCAAUCCAACCAACACCUUAUUAGUAGUUCCGCUCCAGUUCCUUUUAGUAGAACCUGUUAAAAUUUUGGAUUCUAGAGUUUCAAUUGAACAAUUGAUCUUUCUUCAUUGUGCUCCGCGUAGAGGGUACUCUAAUUACACUUUGAUGGUGUUAAGAUAAGGGGAAACAAAGGAAAAAAAUGUCGGAUUCUCCAACUUUGGCAACGAGUGAAUAGGAAGAAGAGUGAACGGAUAUGGCAAAAUUCUGGUUGCAUGAUUUUGUAUUGGCAUGCAAUUGAAGGCCAUAAAUAAUUCCUGCUUAAGAACUAUUCUUUUGCUUAAUAAUCCCUUUUCAUCAACCUUGCUAGUGUUGAGGAUUUGUACAAGUUUUUUUUUUCUUUUGGUUGCAAUUUCUGGAUCGCAAUGUAUAUAGAUCCUCUCUCAGGUUUCUUACUCCCCGCCGCAACAGACAUGGUCAAGUUAAGUAGGGGUGGGAGAUUCAUUAUUAUACCCUAUAUAGGAGCAUAAAUUAUAAAAACACCCAACAUGAAAUGGACUUUAGUCCUUCUAGAACAUAACAAAGAUGAUUUUCUAACUUCUUAUAAAUUACAAAACUGCCAUUUAUUUUUUAAAACAAACGCAACCCCAAAACCACAUUAAAAAAAUCUAAAAUACUCAAUAGGGCAUCACAGUAAUUUAAUAAUCAAAAUUAAAUUCAAUAGGGCCAGCUGUCAUUUUUUGGGUUGUUUUUUUUUAUUUGUCUAUAGAAAUUAAAUGGUUUAAGAUUUAUCUAUAUCAUUAAUGCUAAGAAUGAGUAUAUAACUAAAUAUCUCUUAGUUUUAAGUAUGAUUAAAAGUCAUUUCGUAUAAUUACCUAUCAUCAUGCUUUACACUGAAAUGAAAAAAAGGUUAUUAUUCUAUGCUAGUUAUUAGCUAUAGUGGAUUGGUCUCUCCAUCAACCAUGUUCACAAAAUUAUUCUAUGCUUUGCCAAAUCACUGACCCAAAUUGGUCGAUGAUGAUUGGAGUGUUGACCCAGUUGUCUUAAUUAGGAAUGUCAAUGACCACAGCAUAUUUAUUAGUGUGUUUUUUCAUGUUUUGCUUUCGUUGAUUUUGUAUAUUUAGUUUGAUCCCAUCUUUGGGGUUGGUUUUGUUGUGGGGUUUGGUUAGUUAUCCCCCGUUGUUGAAUUCUUCUUUUUAAUAAAUUUCUCCUCGUACGAUCAAGGUUCCAAAAGAAAAAAAGAAAGGACUCAUAUGACAUUCCUCCUGAUCUUGAUAUAAUCUAUAUAUAAAUUGACUAGUAUAACAUUAGCAAUGCAGAGUAUGGAGGAAGACAAUGAAGAAAAAAUUGGCAUAAAGGAUAGUCGUGACUUGGAUUGGAAGAUUUACAAGAAGAAGAAUAAAGUAUGGCGAUAUGGAGCAUAGGUUUUAACACUUCAACUACCACAACAACAAAAAAUGGUAACAGUCAUUAUUAUUUGGUGACAGAAUCAAACUGUAGCACAAAGGAAAACAAUUCACAUUCGGAGGGCAUAAGUAGCUUGGCAAACAAGCUAAUGAUAUUCUUACCUUCACUAUGAUCAUCUAUAUAUAUAUAUAUAUAUAUAUAUAUACAGAGAGCUUCCAUUGAGGGAUCCCUCAAAUAAACUUAUUUGAGGGACACCUCUUGUAGGCCCCACUCCGGAUUGUAUUUCACUAAUCUAAACCGUCUAUUUUGUAGAUACUCAUUCAAAGAUCAUCUCUACAAAAAAUCACUUGAAUCCGAUAUCAUUUGACCACUCAAUUAAGUUAUUGAAAUUUUAGUACUUUCUUAAAGCACCGUGUUCAUUGAUUUUGUAAGACACAAUUGAAUGUCGAAAUGGAAGCCGAUUUGUCUAAUUUUUUGUAAGGAUGAUCUAUGUAUGAAGACUUAAAAAAUAGAUGGUUUGGAUCAUUGGGAAAAAAAUUGUAGGAUACCCUAAAGGGCGUCCCUCAAAUAAACUUAUUUGAGGGAUCCCUCAAUAGAAGGGGACUGAUAAAUAUAUAAGUGGAGUGGACAAAUGAAGGCAAAUUAACUCGUAAGCUAGCUCUUACCUCUUGAGCCUAUCCCUCUCCAACUGAUAUCCCACAAUGAUCAUUUGCUCCUUAAUUCUCGGUUUCUUGGAUGCGUUGGGCCGGGACCCUGAAGAGCCUAAGCGUAAUCGCCCACAGCGGCCUCCUCCUAAUUAUAAAUUUAUAAUUACUGUAAUCCCAAUCCCAAGUAUAAUUGUAAUCCCAAUCCCAACUACAAUUGUAAUCACAAUCCUAACUACAAUUGUAAUCCCAAUCCCAAUCCCAACUAUAAUUGUAAUCCCAAUCCCAAUUAUGAUUAUAAUCCCAAUAGACCCAGACCACCAAGCAACAACGGAGGCAGAUAUCCUGCUGGUCUUGAUCCAAACCGCAAAGCAAACUGUUCACUUUCAAAGGGAACGAAAUUAGCGACAACCACGCCGACGCGCAGGCGUUUAACAACUUCGGCAACGUGCAUAACGGGGUUAAUAGGCAGCACGACGACGAAGACAACGCUAUUUUCGGGUUUGAGGAUAAUAAAGUCAAGGGAAACCAGGGCAAAGUGAAAGGAUUUAACGACUUUGGCAACCAGUACUAUUGAGCAGGAAGAGGAGUACCGGUGAACCAAACCAAUGGCAACCUCUCGCUGCAUGCAUACAAUUGAAGAAGGCCAUAAUAAUAUGUAUUGUGCUAAAAUAUCUACAUUAAAAUAAGAGCUGAUGCAUCAUCUGAGGCUUCUACCUUGGCUAGGCCUCCUUAUCAUGUAUGUGUUACUAAUAUUAUGCUGAUAAAUUAAUGGGAGCUACAUUACGAGUCAGUUUGGAAUUGUUGUUGCUUUAUAAAUAAAUAAAUUAAACUUAUAGUAUGUUUUGAAAAUAAUUAAUUAUAAAAUACAGUAGUUUCAUGUUUGGUAAAUAAUAUUUUUAAAGUGAUUAUGGAUAAUGACUAAAUUAGACAUGAUGUUGAAAGACUUAUGUGCUAACCAUGUGAUGGUAGUAAUGACAAUAAUGGUGGUGGCGGUGGUGGUGGAGGUGGUGGUGGGUGGCGAAUGUAGUUUGGGCAACCACAAACAUAAAAAUAAUUAAGUUAGUCGUUGGUAUAAGUGUAUGGGAUGAUAUGGGUUCAAGCGAAAGAUUUUAUUCUAUAUAAUAUCAAUUAUUUGCUGUAAAAAUUUGAUAACUAAACUUUUCUUGAGGAUGUUAAUGGGGUCUAGCCCAGUGAAAAAGAGUCUUGAUCUGCAAAUCAGUGGUCUCAUGUUCGAAUCUCAUGGCACCUUGGCAGUGUGUGUGUGAGAAACCCCCAUCCCCCUCUAUGUAAGACUAUCCCAUGCAUUCAAAUAAAAUAAAAUUGUUGUGCAUCAUAUAUAUUGAAGAAAUUUUUAUUGAAGUUAACUACAUUUUACUCCAUGCAUAUUAGGGUCAUUAUCAAAAUAGGCCUCAAUGUUUUAAUUUCAUCAAUAUGAAACCCAACUGAAAGGACCCGCUUCGAAUUUUCCUGAAACUCGAGACAAAUCCUGUGGAAUUCCCGACAUCAUCCCGAUACCGGGCCCACCUACUAAAGACCGAGACUUUCUGCCGAAAUUUUGGCAGAGUCUCCCCUGUAAAUUGGACAUUUCUCAAAAUUACCACCUGCAUAAAACACAAUUUAUAUCCCCAACUGGCAGCAUGCACAAAAUAAUUUCAUACAAAUCACAUAAUCGGCAUUCAACCUUCAAAUAAUUCGAAACGAAACCACCAAGUACGAUAUCAAAUCAAUUCCUAUCUUAAACAAGGCAAACAAUAAAUUUAAUCACACUUAAGAAUAUCAAAGCAAUCCAUUACAUUUAAUUUUCUCAACAGCCAACAUACGAGGUUUUAACCUCGUAACACAAUCAUGUUUUCGCCUCAAAUUUCAGGACCAACAACAUGGUCGAACCAAUCUCCAUAAAACAACAUGACUAACAUUUAGCAUGCGGCUGCACCUAGCAACCUUAGGCUGCUUACGUACCCUCCCUGAGGGAUCAAGCCACACGUAGUUCUACCAUAAAACCUAAUCCCACACAUAGGCAAUACCUUAUUUCAUUUCUUUGUAUUUCACAUAAUCUCCCCAUAUGCCGGUACUACCAACGCUACGUAUGGGGCCUGUCAACACGUCAGAUAACCUACGCCACGUGCGACCAUACCAUACUAUCACAAUAUCUCCUCAUACGCCGAUACAACCAACGCCACGUAUGGGGCCUGUUAAUACGCCGGAUAACCUACGCCACGUGCGACCAUACCAUACUAUCACAGUAUCUCCCCAUAAGCCGGUACAACCAACUCCACGUAUGGGGCUUGUCUGCACGCCGGAUAACCUACACCACGUGCGACCAUACCAUACUAUCACAAUAUCUCCCCAUACGCCGGUACAACCAACGCCACGUAUGGGGCCUGUCCGCACGCCGGAUAACCUACGCCACAUGAGACCUAAACAUCAUUCACAAUAUCUCCUCAUACGCCGGUACAACCAACGCCACUUAUGGGGUCUGUCGACACGCUGGAUAACCUACGCCACGUGCGACCUCAACAUAUUAUCACAUAUCUCCCCAUACGCCGGUACAACCAACGCCAUGUAUGGGGCCUGUCUCAACGCCGGAUAACCUACGCCACGCGAGACCUGAACAUCAUAUCACAAUAUCUCUCCAUACGCCGGUACAACCAACGUCACGUAUGGGGUCUGUCGACACGCCAGAUAACCUACGCCACGCGCGACCUCAACAUAAUAUCACAUAAUCUCCCCGUAUGCCGGUACAACCAAUGCCACGUAUGGGGUCUAUCUCAACGCCGAAUAACCUACGCCACGCGAGACCUCAACAUCAUAAUACAAUAUCUCCCCAUACGCCGGUACAACCAAUGCCACGUAUGGGGUCUGUCUGCACGCCGGAUAACCUACCCCACGUGGGACCUAACUUUCAUAGGGUGGUACGUGUAGUGUAACUAAAAUCCGGGGAUGUGCCUAAGGUAGUGCGUAUAGCACUUCAAACUGACAUUCUAAACUCUUUUUGUACCUUUACAAACAUAUAUAAAUAUAUAAUUUAAUUCUAAUAUUGUGUAAACCUCAACAAUAGUCUAGCACCCGAUAAUCCCCUGGAAAGGUGAGACUACUACGAAAGACUCACGGUCAACCAAGGGUCAAACUACCCUAACCUUGGUCAAACGGGCCCACGGGGCCCACGACCUCCAAAUUCCGAUCCGAAAGUUUCUAUGGGUUCUACAAGGUACAAGACAGUCGUCCUGCAAGUUUGGUUCAGAUCGGACAGGCAGAUCGCUCACGAUCGCACGAUCUGACGGUUAAUAUAAAACAUAAACUUUAAAUUAUUUAAUCGGAACAUUCGGGGCUCUGAUUUACGAUCCGUGAAUUCCUACACGAUCUUAGAAAUACCUAGAUUAACAUAUAUUAUAUUCGAGACCAUCCAACGGUCCCAACCUAUCGAACCCGGAUAACGCGCAAUAUGCGAAAAUCCGUUCGAUAGUCAAACGACGUCCGAAUUGAGAUCCGCGAAAUCCUACGCACUCGUGACAACCAGAAGAUCACAUUGGGACAAUAAUGCCCCUCUGCUACAGUGCCCACGCGCCGGCAGCGCGUGGGUGUCCAAAGCGACACAGCUUCGCCGAAAAAUCUCAAAAUCAUGGCUCCAAACUCCUAUUCUAGGUAAAACACCCUAUUUGGAGCCACUUUUGUUCUUGGACCUACGCCCAAAAACUGACCGGAAGUGGCCGGAAUCGAGAUCCCAAAAUCUACCGAAUUUCAAUUCGUAAAUCGAAUUACCUACGCUCAAAAUCGAUGCAAUCAUACCCUACUAUCAGCUAGAGCAUGGAAAAUAGGUAGAAAUACAUACCUUACUCGUCUGAAUCGAUGGCCGGAGGAGAGAGAUCGGGCUCCUUGAACUUUGAGUUAAAAUCGGUCGGAUUUUUGCAUUUUUCAGCGAGCACAGGUGGUUCCAGUGGCUGAGAUUGGUCGAGAUGGGAAGAGGAAGAUAGCACGGUUCUUUUGGGACCGGUGGCCGGAUGCGACGGUGGUGGCCCAAAAACCACCGCGGUGAACAGUAACAAGGGGACUGUUUCUGCGCGGGGAGGAGGGAGACAGAGAGAGAGAGAGAGAAUCUGAUUUUUAUAAAUAAAAAAAAUCCCAUUUUGAAAUAUUUACGAUUUUGUCACUGAACUUGUUUUGUUCGUAACUUCUUUGUUUCAACUCCGAAUUGAGCCCACUACGUGUCUACGGACUCAUCUCAGUACGACCUUCCCAAAAAUACUAGUCACUGUCCCAAACUCCUUUCGGAUAAGAAAAUGACCAAAUUACCCCUAUCUCAAGGGUAAAUUUGUAAUUUCCCUUAAAUAAUUUAAAUUAUUUAAAUAAGGGGUCUAAUUUGGAGUCGGGGUGUUACACCAACGUUUUUAAAUAUUACCAAAUCACGCACUCCUUCAACUUACCGUUUUGAUGGUGAAUUUUGGCGAAAAAAGAUCUUACCUGUUUUGUAGGGGGUGGUAUUUAAUUGAGAUUUUAAUAGAUUGUAAUCACAAGAUUUUAAUAUAAUGGAUUUCAGCCGGAUUUGUAAUUAUAAAAUUUUACUUAUGAUUUUAAUAGAUUGUAAUAACCGGAUUUUACUUAUGAUUUUAAUUCACUUAGGACCAUAGUCUAAAAUAUCGAUAAUAUUCACGAAUCAAGGAUAUUAUUAUUUUUUCGGGUCAAUGAUAUUUUGGAAUGUAUUCAUACACAUAUCGUAUAAAUAUCGAUAAUAUCGGAAAAUAUCGACGUCAAUAAUUUCUCUCACACUUCAGCAAUAUUUGGCAAAAAUAUCGCUAUAAUAUCAAUAAUAUCGAGAUGAUGAAGACAAUGAAGGAGGAGGAUUCUAACUUUAAACCUUUUCCAAGACCCACUAGUACUGCACUGCAUUUGUUGGUGUUAGGCUCCAACCCGUAAAAGCAUUUUGAGGACGUUUUUAGGAAACAUAUCUAUCAAGACUAUUAUGUAAACGAAGAGGCUUUAUUUUAAUAUUAGAAAAUGUUUACAAUAAGAGAUAUUAUUUUAUUAUUAGAAAUGUUGUGAUUCUCAUAGCUAAAUAGAGUAACAUUUUUCAAGUGGCUAGAAAAAAUAAUCUUCCAGUAACUUUGCAGAUUACUUAGUCCCAAUUAGUUACUUGCCAUUGGAAACCUCAUGAGGGGAUUUGCUAAAAUUAAUUGUUGACGGGGCAUGUUGUGUGGCUGAUAAGAUGGGGAUAGUAGCAGUAGUCCGAAAUGUCAAUGAAGAAUUAAUGAAUGCGAUGGCUAAAUUUGUAAUUGGUUGUCUUUCCCCUAAAGCUUUUGAAGCCUAGGUUGUCAUAUGGCAUUAGAUGUAGGAUUCAUAAGGUUCAUUAUUAAAAGUGAUUGUUUGGAGGUGAUUUGUGAAACUCUGUAUUUUUUAUUUAUUAUAUAUAUGUUUUAUUUUGGAAUCUAUGAUAUUAGUAAUAACUAAGUGUUUUAUUAUUAUUCAUUUGAUAUGUAAUUGUUUAAUAAAGUUUUUGAAAGAUAUUUCAGCUUUGGCUUGAACAAAAAGGUUGUUAUAUUGUUAUCCCUUUAGUAAACCGCCAAUUUCUUCAUCCAAUAGAAGUAAAGGUGUAGCCGACAUUCCUCUAGUAUAAAUAGGAAUGCAAUUCUUUCAUUUUGAAACGCACGGCAUGCAUGGUUUGCAUGGAAAAACCAUAAGAGUUAAGAAAGGGAAAUACUAGAGAGAGAGAGAAUUUGGGUGUGGAUGCGGUGGAAAUUAGGGAGUCGUCAUACAAUUAUAGCGAUGCUUUGGAAAUGAGAUAAGGGUUUUUUGGUGACCAUUUACAAAGAUUGAUCUAAUUAAAUGUCGUGAGCAAUAUAAUAUGCAUGAUAUUAUUAUUUGAUUAUUAUUAAUAUUGAGUGUUUAAGUGUUGUUAAUUAUUAUUAUAUCAUUUUAUUAAUAUUGACAUGAUCAUAUGUUAUCAGUGAUGACUGGAAUUCUUGGGUUGAUAAAGAAAGUAUGGAAAAGAGGGUAAUGGAAAUAGUCUUUUGUAUAGUUGAGUCUAACUCUUGGCAGGUACCAGAUCUCAGGGAUCCCACAGUGCACAUGAUUUUUAUUGGGUGAUUCGGGACUGGCGAAAGGGAGUUAGACAAGAUGACUAACAAACGGGGAAUUACCGGAUGAUUGAGAUGGGUGUUAGUUCAUAUAAAUGGACAUUCGGGACCAAGUGAUAUAAGCAUGGUAUGGGACGUGCAGGUCUGCUCGUCCAGUUAUAUGAAUUAACGGGAGUAGAUGAAGAGCAUUCAUGCAUUAUUAUUAUUAAUGUGAUAUUUGGCUGUGUGAUUGCAUAUCGCUUAAUUUAGUUAUAUCAAUCUACUGUGGUAACCUACUGAGCGGUGGUUGCUCACUCCUCACUCUAUUUAAUCUUUUUCAGAUGAAUUAGUGGGCUAGACAAGGACUAAACCAGUUGAGGCUGAAUUAGAUGAGAGUGAUAUAGCUUUAUUUAUUAAUUAUAAAGUUAUAAGAUUUCGGAUCUACUUUUAUAAGAGAAGUUUAUUUUAAACCAUAUUUCGGUUUCUUUUUAUUUUAUUUUAAUUUCUAUUUUCUCAAGUACCGGGCGUGGAGUUUCCACCGACUCCCAAAUCCGUGGCGUGACAUGAUUAAGGCCGUGAACCGAACUGAAUUUGAAAUGAGCACUCGUUCAUGUAAUUUUGUGGCUCACCAAUGAGCCAAAUUUGCUUUAUCUUGUAAUGAGGCAUGUUACUGGAUUGAAGGGGGCCUAGCUGGCUUCACUCUUACCUUCAGAUGAUUUGUGUUCUCUGCAUUCUAUUGAUGAAUAAAGUCUUUAGUCUUUGGCCUUUAAUAAAGAAAUAAAUAAAAGAUUGCUUAAUCCCAACAUAUUUUUCGAGUAUUUGCUAUUUGAAAAUAACUGUUCUCAAAUGAAAUAUAAUUUCAUAAGAUUGAAUACAUCCACCAUAACUGCGAUUGAAUAGCUAGAUAUAAUCGUUACACAAUUUUUUUCUUCUUUCAAAGCAAGAAUGACUAGAUAAAAUUUACAGAAUAUUGUUGAAUUUGAUCUUUAAGUACCAUGUAAGUUGCCUAUAUAUUUUGACUACUGCAUUAUUUACUGUUGCCAUCAUAUAUGUAGUAAUUAUGACCACACAAUAAAAUUUCUUUCGUCUUCAGUACGAAAGUCAGUUUCUUCUUCAGUCGAGUCUUCUUCUUCUUCGUCUCUCUUCUUGCCGCCUCUACUAUACUUGUUACCAAAGUCGAAAACUCCAACCUUGUCGCCUUUGCUUUCAUUAAUAGUAUUCCCAUGAACCUUGAAUGAAUCGCCGCUUGAUCUGGAACUCUUUUUUUUCCCAUUCUUUUUCUUGCCUUUCUUUUCUCCAAUAUUCUAGUGCUUGUCAACUUUUCCAUUAUUCUUGGGCAGCUGGGGAUUAGCACAAGUACUAAUUCUACUUUUCGAAUUUGCCGGUUGGUCAGGUCCAGCAAUUGAGGAACUAUUGCCAUAUGCAUUGGGUGGCUUUAAGACCUCACUAAUGUCAUGUCCAUGAGGAACAAACGCCGUCACAUUAUCAUGGCUUAUUUCUGAAGGAUUAGUUGGGGCUGGUUGUGUGGGAUAAGAUUGCUUUGCCUUUUCACUUUCAAAACAUGGUAUAUUUCUCCCCUUUAUAUAUAUAUAAAAGCGGAGGAAUAUUGUCAAGUGGGCAUUAGCUUGCUUUCCAAGCUAUAUUCUCACACUUCUGUCAACAUAUAUAUAUUUUUCUCUCACAUCCUUGCACAGGUUCAUAAAGUGAUGAGGGAUACCCUUGUAAAGCCCACUCUACAUUAUAUUUCACUAACUCAAAUCGUUUAUUGUGUGGAUAUUCAUUCUAAUAUUAUCUCUACCAAAAAAAAAAAAACUUGAAUCUGAUAUCAUUUGACCAUUCAAUUAAAUUAUUGAAAUUUGUGUACUUUCUUGAAGUACCGUGUUCAUUGAUUUUGUUGGUCUCAAUUAGAUGCCUUAAUGAUUUUCAAUUUGUCUGAUUUUUUGCAAGGAACAUCUAUGAAUGAAGACUUUAAAAUUAGACAGUUUGGAUUGUAGAAAAAAAAAAACUCGUAUAGUAUCCUAAAGGGUGUCCCUCAAAAGAAAGGGACUAUAUAUAUACAUACAUAUAUGAAUAUUAUUCCUUGGGAUCGAACCUCAACAACAUACAUGAGGUUCUAGUUGUUGGAUAUGAAUCAUGGCUAUAUAUGUUAGAAUAGUGUAUUUAAUCCCACAUCGACAUGCAUGGUUAACUAUGAGUCAUCCCUUGAUAUAAAAAGGAACAAUCAACUCAGCAAUCGAGACAUCUAUCCGAGAGUUCGCCGUUUUCGGGUUUGAGGAUAAUAAAGUCAAAGGGAACCAGGGCAAGGUGAAAGGAUAUAAUGACUUUGGCAACCAGUGCUACUGAGAAGGAAGAAAGUGCGCCUGCCUGUGAACCAAACCAAUGGCAAUCUCUCGUUGCAUGCAUGCAUGCAAUUGAAUAUGUACGUACUAAAAUAUCUACACUAAAAUAAGAGCUGAUGCAAUAUAUGUAUACUAUCUGAGGCUCAUUCUUCGGGUAGGCUUCGUUUUUAUGUGUUAUUAAUAUUAUUCUAAUAAAUUAAUGGGUGCUUGACAUUAAUAUCAACUUCUUUUAGAUUAUCAAUGAAAAAUGUCCGCAAAUAAUUUGCCUCUCUCCUGUAUCGUGCUGCCAUCAUAAAUAAACAAAAUUCAAGUCAUAAUAUUCAUAAGUUUGGCUUUUUGACGCACUAAAAAUUUGUUACUAGUUUGGCAACCAAAAACACACACAAUUAAAUUGUCAAAGACAUCGUUAGUAUAAGUAUAUAAAUUGGUCGCUAAUAAAGAUAGUCUCCUUAGCAUUUUCCUUUUCAUGGACAAUCAGAACUAGUUUAUUAAACUUAUGAGUUGUUAACACAGAUGGAGCAAAGCUUCAUGAUGUACAGUAAACGGAUGAAGUGGUUGUUAGGUCCCAUUUGCAUUUUAUUUACCAUACAUGAUAUGAUAAGAGUUGUAUAAAAUCAACAUCCAAUAAGAUUAAUUGGAAUCUGGUCAAACACAUGCAAAAAAAUGCUCUAUCCUCUCAAAUGGGAACCUGUGAAUUCCAUUGGCUGUGAAAUUAUCAACCUUUGGUCCAAAGGCUUUGGAAAGAAAGGUUCUUAUCUCAAGGAAAAUUCCGUAAAGCACUACGUAUUUGUUGGUAGUGAAAUAAGGUUCUUAUCCUAUUUGAACUGUGAUAUAGAGACUUUUUUUUUCCGUUUACAAUAUUUUAUGGUAAGUUUAAUGAUGAGAGAUGCUAUAUAGAAAAUAUGCUUGUUCACUCGUUAUUAAUAAAUUUUCGCAAUUUAAAAAUCAUCACUGCAAAAAAAUCAAUGAAAAAUAUAUUAGAUAUGGAUCUUUCUUUUCUGAAAGCUAUAUAUGUCACCUUCAUUAUCCUUAUCAAAUUCGAACUUGCCAUGCAUGAAUUUGCUUGAACUCAACUAACUCCUCAAAACUAUAGGAAUUUCUCGAAAUUACUAAUUGAACUUCCCACCAUCCAUCUUUCAAGGACCCAACUUACACAAGUAGUCACAAACUAGCUCUCAACCAAGCCUGUUAGAAUUAAGCGUUCCCUUCCCUCCUCCAUUGAUUGAAAAAAGAAAAAAGAAAAAAAAAACACUUACGAAACAAGCCAUGAAUACUUAUAAGAACAAUAUUCUUAUGGUAAUGUCUUAUUUAUAUUUGUUGGUUGCUCCGUUAUUGUAAUGGUCUUUUAUGGCUAGUUUGUAUGGGUCUUUUAUGACUAGUGACUUUUUUGAUUAAAUUAUGAAUGCAAUUCUAUAAUUUAUCAACAACAAAAAAUCAACUAACGCACAUGGAUAAUGGAUCUCUCUCUUUUGAAAACAGCUAAAAGCAACUCCAUUGUCCUUAGUGAAUUUAUUCUUGAUUAGUUUUGUUGAAUUCAUCAUCUUCGAAUUAUUCCAACUUAAUUACGUAGCACAGCUUACGGAUGCAACUGAGCAUCGCACAUAGCUGAGCAAUUAAUGGGUCGUACUCGUAUGUAGCAGAGAAAUUAAAAAGAUAUUUACCCCAAAAAAAAAAAAGUUAAGAUAAGACAUUAGGCCCGUACUGUAGUAUAUUAUUCCAAGAAGAUAAAUGUGAAGAAUCUUAUGAUCAAUAAUAUAGAAUUUGUAUUAUCCUCUGUGCGCAUGCCAACAUCUAUAAAAGGAGACUGUGAGGCAAUAAGUCGAUCAUCCAAGCAAACUCACAGAUUCCAACUAAAAACUAAUCAGCAAGACAAUGACGAGUCACCAAGUGAAAAAUCAGGUGAGAGACACAGUUGAGGAAGGCUUCGACAACCUCCACAGGGUUGCCGACGUCGUGACUUUUCCUUUGGCCCCUCUGGACGGUGCCAUUCACGGCACGGCCCGAGGGGUCGUCAACUGGCUCACAGAUACCCAUCCUGAUAGAUCCAAGUCCAAGCAAAUUCCUAAUGGCGCUGGCUACGGUGGCGGACAUGG